CAUGAGCUACAUAUUCGGAAUCCAAAAGAACAUUCUUGCUUGAUAUAUCACGAUGAACAAUUCGAGGUGAGCAUUCAUGGUGCAUAUAGCACAAAGCAUUUGCUACAUCUUUAACAACAUUCACCCUCUUAUACCAAUCAAAUGCCAUUGCUUGUCCAUCAUCCUUCAGAGUCUUCUCAACACUGCCAUUCUCCAGGUAUUCACACACCAAAAAUGAGAAUUGUGAAUGUGAACAAAACCCAUAUAACUUUACAAUGUUACGAUGUCGAAUUUCUGUCAAAGCUUGGAUCUCACAUGUGAAAGCUUUCAGAUUGAGCAUCUCUCCAUUUGGAACUGAAUGGAGUUUCUUCACAGCAACAACUUUACCUGCAGGGAGCACUGCUUUGUAAACACAUCCUUGCCCUCCAACACCAAUGAGAUGUUUGUCGUCAAAAUCUUCUGUGGCUUCAAUAAUAUUCUCGAAAACCAUUUUGCCAUCAAAAUUCCAUAUUGCAAAUAUGUUAGGAGUUUGUAUAUUUGUAGCCUGGUCUUCUUUUUUCGUUGAGGUUUGGCAUAAAUGAUACGAGACUCCGAAAGCAAAUAAUGCCAGUAUUAGAAUGCCCAAAGUAAGGGGUAAAAUUACUAUUAUUACUUUCUUCCUCAUAUGAUUAUGAGAUUUCCCACUUGAUGUUGAGCAAGGCUCCAAGCCAGUGACAUUGCCACACAAGCCUUUAUUAUUUCUCAAUGCUUCAAUUUUAGCAUUGUGGAAGGCUAGAAUGUUUGGAAGUGGACCCUCAAACCGGUUGUAUGAUAUAUCAAUAGAUGUCAAGCUCGUCAUAUCAUCGAAGCUAGAGAGAUUACCUGAAAGAUUAUUGUGAGAGAGAUUCAGUGUUUCUAAGCUUUUUAAUUCUCCAAACAUUGAAGGUAUUGUUCCUCUCAAUGAAUUUCCACCAAGAUCAAGACUCGUAAGAAAUUUCAGUUUGCCAAGCUCUGAAGGAAUAUUUCCCUGAAAAUUAUUUUGGCUCAGACUCAUGUUCAAUAAAUUGAGCAAAUUUCCUAGUUGUUUUGGGAUUAAGCAAGACAACUUAUUUGAUCCAAGCUUCAAAAUUUGAAGUUUCUGCAUUGAUGCUAUUUCUUUGGGAACAUUUCCUGUAAGAUUAUUGUUGUCGAGUGAGAGAUCAUAUAUAUAGCCUCCCAGGUAUUUUAGCAUUUGCUGCUGCUAUAAUCAUAUCUUUUAUCUCUCACACUCCAAUAAGAUUACUGCUCUCAUUUAUCAUAUAUAUAGGUGAUACUACGAGGCUGCAAGGACUGAUCUAUUCUAUGGUCUUGUGGUGUUUUUCUUUUUGUUCUAAUGGCUGGUUAUUUGCAUUUCAAUGACAAUAACAUAAAGAAGAAUGGGGUAUUUUGUGAGUAUUCUCGCUCUCUUAAUAUAUGGAGUGCUCUUUUUUCCUAACAUGAUUGACUGGAUUGAUCUCACAUUAAUUGAUGCAUUCUUAGUCUAUUAUUAUGGAUGGGAAAGUCAUGUGGUUGUUUAAGAGUAACACAAAUAUCAAAUUGAAAUAGAUAAAAUCAUAUGAACUUUAAACAGUAAUGAAUUAAUAAUAUAUGAGCAAAGGUCGUCUAAAAUUCAGUUAUUUAAGAUCAGAGCACUUUAGAAGAUAAGACCCCAACAUCGUAGUUCUAAAAAUGCAUUAUUAUGGCGUCAUAUGUAAAUGUGAUUCUCACAAAAUGUUUCUCAUGCUGGUGUUGGUUGUAACAUCCUAUUUUUCGUAAACUAAUUUAAAAAAGAUUGUUAUUUGUAAAUAAAUAGAGUUUUAUAAAAAAUGAUAAGGUUUUCAUAAUUAAAUAAAUAAGGAGAAAUAAUUUUAUUAAUUAAAAUAAUGGUUUAGAGAAAAUUAAAAAGUAUUUUAUUUAUUCAUUUGAUAGUGAAUAAAAUAGAGUUUAUUUUUAUAAAAUAAUAAAAAUAAAUAAAUAAAGUAAAUAAUAGGUUGUGAGUACUUUAGCUAUAAAUAGAGAAAUGUUAGGUCUAGUUUUCAGACUGACGAUAGCUUUUCAACCUUCUCUUUCUCUCAAUUUCGUUUUUCCUUCUCUUUCUCACAAAAUUCUCCCUUUUUCCGCAUACCACAAAACCUAUCUCAGAAAAACGACGAUUUUAGACUUAUUCACCGUUGGAUCGUCGGAAAUUUGAGAACCAGGUUUGCAACUCAAUUCUGAGCAUUCUCAUCGUUGGGAAUUAUGAAAACAUAUCGGAGCUGAGAGUAAUACCCUUCACAUUGUAACUUUUCUUUUCCUGCAAAAACUCAGAGCUAUCUCAGUAAAACUACGAUCUCGAACUUUUUAACCGUUGGGUUGUUUUUCAGAUUUUUAUAUGUGGUUUGCAAUUCAUUUCUGCAUGUUUUCACCGUUGGGAUUUGCAAAAUAAUGUCUGUUGAUGGAGAAAGAUGCAUCGCAUGUAGGACCAUAGAAUGAAGGCUUCAAUCCCUUCUUCUUCUCUCUAACGUUUGGAAACCCUAACAGAGAAACAUGAGGAGGAGCUCUAGAGAGCACCAGAAAUGCCACAAUUGAUAACGGAAAACGCUUGAGCGACUACAUCGAGGUAAUGGAUGAGUUAUUCACAAAUGGGAAUUAGUAAGAACAUGUGUAGGGAUCCUUAGAGUACCAAUUAUAAUGGGUUUUGGGGUGUUUAUGCAAUUUUUAUUUUAUCCUUAUAAUUAUAACUGUGAAUUAUAUAUGUUUGAUGAACUAGUUGAUGUCCCAAUGAAAAACUACUGUGAAAUUAAUGUGUUCUUGUGUUGUGUGUGAACCCUAUAAAUUGAACCUUUGUCUAAUUAGCGUGAAUUGAUAAAAUUAAGUAAAUAGAGGUUUAGCGUAAGAGGGAGUGAGAUAUUGAUUUUGUAUUUUCUCCUUUUCAUGCUUUUUAGUUUUUUUUAUAGUUUAAAAUUAAUAUUAUAUAUGAAAUUGACCAAAGAUUUCUAGUAGACUGUGUGUUGUAUUCUUAGAUAAUAUAUAUAAAUUCAUGUAUACUUAUAUAUACGGGAAAGUGUUCAUAUAAUUAUUUAGAAUUGGUACAUUGAAAGCUUACUUUGAAAUUCAUGACCCAAUAUGAUGUAUGUUGCUGGUUAUAUAUAUAUAAAUUUAGUUAUAUAUUUAUUUAUAUUAAUAUUUUAUGUAAAUAAUACUGUAGUGUUGUUAUAGUGUGAUUCCAAAAAUUAUUCAAGUGUUGGAGUUUGAGAAUAUUAUGGUUAGAUUUGAGGUACAUGUGUAUUGAGAUGCAUGUAUUGAGUUGUGAGUUAUGAAUUAUACAAUAACCCAACCAGUGUUGAUAUUGAGAAAAGUGUUGAUGCGCAAUGUCAAAGAGAAAGUGUAGGUUUCCUAUUUAGGAAUCAGUGUUAAGUUGUAGCGCAAUGUGUUAAACGUGUUUGAAACACAAGUGUGAGGUCGUGGAUAUUGUAUAAUUCACGAGCAAUGUUUAUAAAUGAAAUAUGUGAUGAAUUGUGGAAUAACAUGUUGCUUUGAGAUUAUAGUAUUGUUAUUCAGAUUGAGUAUAAGUACAAAGUUGAACAUGUGUUAAUUUGUGAGAUGCGUGUAAACAUGUGAUGGUGGAUUGUGACACUAUGAUAUGUGAAAUUGUGAAUGAGUUUUGGCUGUGAAUAAGUGUGUGGAUAACACUUGAUGUGACAUUACUUGUAUUGUAAGUUGUGAAUUAUACAAUAAUCCGACUAGUGUUAUCUUGAGAAAAGUGUUGAUGCACAGUGUUAAAGAGAAAGUGUAGGUUUCUUAUUUAGGAACCAGUGUUAAAGAGAAAAUGUAGGUUUUCUAUUUAAGAACCAUUGUUAAAUUAUAGCGCAAUUGUGUUAAACGUGUUUAAAAUACGAGUGUGAGGUCGUGGGUAUUGUAUAAUUCAUGAGCAGUGUCUGCAUGCAAAAAAUUAUUUUAGGGAUUAGACCUGAAUCGGGAGGGAGAGGCUCUGACGGAUUCUUCGGAGUGUAGGCCUUGGGAGUCAUCCGGUUUGAGUGCUCCUUUAAGCCUGUGCCGAUCCCGCAUAGUUAGAGCAUUCUCGCAAAACAACAUGACCCUGAUUGGUUUCCCUAUGAUUUUACUUAGCGAGAGUGACCUGACAUACCCAUUGUGUGGUGUGUCUUGUUAUGUACUCCUAAGCGUCAUAGGGUGGUUUUUCACUGACAUGGUACCACAUUGCAUAUAGGCUUGAGUCUUAGCAUAACUGUUGCAUACGCUUGCUAAUUAUUUAUUAUGAAAUUGAUGUGUUAUUAUGUCUUGAUCAGAGUGUGUGAUUCUUGUGUGAUGUGAUUGAUGAUUGAAAAGUGAAUUUUGAAUGACAAAGUGAUUGAAUUACGUGAGUUAUGUUUAAGUAAGUUUUAUUUUAUUUAUAUGAUAUGUAUAUCUAGUUGUUUUUCUUCUCUAUUAGUUAGGAAUGUGAUAACUCACUCUCCAUGUGUUGUUUGUGUUUGAAUCAUGUGAUGAUAUUGAACUUUGUGUUCGAGAAAAUAGAUGACUGAAUGAAUUGUUUUAAGAAACUUUGUGCUGAAUGACGUGAGGACACAAUGCUCUGAUAAGAUGUGGCAUUGGGGCAUAAUAGUCUAUUUUAUUUUACCUCACUGAUUAAACAAAAUAUAUUUUUUUUUUAAAUUUUGACGGCCUUGUUUUGAGCCGAAUAUAUUUUUAAUAAGUUUUAUUUGGUAAUAGUGAAGUGAAUGUGAACCUUUUACUCACGUUAAUUUGUUUACCAAUAUUUUUAUAUGUUUUAUUUAUUUAUAUAUAUGUCGGGGUAGAGGGUGUCACAUUAGUCAGCAUAACACAUUUUUCUUCUAGAACACAUGAUAUCUAGCCAAUUCUAAAAGUAUGAAACAAUUUUAAAUAGACUUUUGAAGAACCUUAUAGUUAAAUACACUUUGACCAAUUUUAAAGAAUAAAAGUAUGGAACAAUAUAUAAACUCGAGAAUGUCAUUUUGUUAGCCUAUUUUAUUUCCAAAUUAUAAUAUUAAUUCCAAAUUAUACAUAAAAAACCCUAAAAAGCAUGAAAAGGGAAAAAAAUACAAAAUCAGUAUCUCAAUCCCUAUUACAGUAAAUAUUUCCAUAUUUAAUUUCAUCAAUUCACACUAAUUAGAAAAAUACUUAGUUUCUAGGGUUCAUACUAAUACAACACAUCAAUUUCAUAGCAAUUUCACAUUGGAACACUAAUUAGUUUAUGAAACAUAUAUAAUUCACAGUUAUAGUUGUAAACAUAGAAUCAAAAUUUCAUAAACACCCCAAAAUUCAUCUCAAUUGAUCUUCUAAGGAUCCCUACACAUGUUCUCACUACUCUCAAUGGUUAACAAGUUAGGGAUCAUAGUUUUACUAGAAAAGAGAACGAUCUAGAAGGAAGAGAGAGUAUAGAAACAUCUUAAUAUAAGUACUGACCUAAUAUGUUUCUAUUUAUAGCUAAGAUGCCCUGAUCAUAUUAUUUACACUAUUUUUCUUCAUUUUAUUGUUUUAUAAAAAAUGAACUACAUUUUUUUAUUAUGAAAUGAAUAAAUAUAAUAUUCUUUUUAUUUUCUAAAAACACAUUUAUUUUAUUUACCUUAAAAUCAUUAUUUUAAUUAAUAAAACUAUUUCUCCUUAUUUAUUAAAUUAAAAACUUCAUUAUUUUUCUAAAACUUUAUUUAUUUUUAGAUAAAAGACUUUUUAAUUUAUUUAAAAAAACUGAAUGCUAAUGUGACUUUUGAGUAGUUAGUACAAGGCUCUACCCAACAAAGCUAAUAGGUUAAUUAUGUUAUAAAAUAAUUAAUGUCGCUAUAUAUAAUACUAAAUUUUUUAAUGUAUAUUUAAUGUACAUAUAAAUUUAAAUAAUAAAUUUAGUGACAAUUAAUUUUGAUCUAAUAAUUAAUUUUUUUACAUAUAUGAAUUGUAAAUGAAACCUAUGAUUUUUAUUUAAAAUUCAAAAUACAUUAGUAGAUUUAUGUUAAUAAUGUAUUUUUUACAUAUAUAAUUUUUUUUUAUUAAACCUACGAUUUUUAUUUAUAAUUUAUAUAUGUAAACAAAUUAAUUAUUAGAUCAAAAUUAAUUUUCACAAAAUUUAUUAUGUAAAUUUAUAUAUGCAUUAAGUAUACAUGAAAAUUUUUAGUGUUAUCUAUAGCGACAUUAAUUAUUUUAACAUAAUUGACUUAUUAAGUUAGUUGAAUUUUUUAAUUGUAAUUCAUAGCCCAAAUAUAUCAACACACUUUCGUAGGAACUAGGAUUAUAAGAAAUUAAAUGUAGAAACAGUUUUCUUUAAGCUUUCCUUUAUCGUCCCCUUGCAAUUUAUCUUUCUUAGUCUAGUUAGCAGCAGAGUCUAUCAAUCUAAAUGUGGAAUGCUAUUCAGUUAUCUAAGGCUAGACCAGUCUAGAGGAUAAGACCCCAACAUCGUAGUUCUAAAAAUACAUUAUUAUGGGUCAUAUGUAAAGGUGAUUCUCACAAAAUGUUUCUCAUGCUGGUGUAGGGAGCAUAACACAUUUUUCUUCUAGAACACAUGAUAUCUAGGCAAUUCUAUCAUGAGCAUAAUGCUUUACGUAAAACAGCCAAUCAAAAACUCAAGAUAAAAUUUAAAUAAUUUCAGUUCAAGCUUCCUUCUAAGUAGUCAUGCAUUUUCCUUUUCUUUGCUGACUUGUCGUUAAUUUUUAAUUAAUUGAAGGAAAGGGAACAAUUGAUUUGAAUUAUUAUAUUUUCUGAAACAAAAAAUAACACUAUAUUUAAUUUGUUUCCUUUAUUUUGAUAGGAAAAAAAGUAAGGCUUAGAAAUGUUAUCAUUAAUUUGGUUAAGGUAUCCAAAGUUCAGAAACCCAAAAAACUAAAAUAAAAUGACCUACAAUAUAAAAAAAAAAAGAUACAAUACAAAAAUAGAAAAGAACAAUUAAAACUCAAGCAUGUUUAUUAAGCUCAAUCUUUCAGCUAUAUAUAAGUGACAAUGUAGAGCUAAUCCAUUGAAGAUGAGCUUGACAUUACCAGCUCAUUGGCAACCUGCUCCAUGGUAGGGCGAGAUCGUGGACUUUCAGUCAAGCAGGCCAUUGCUAUCUUUGCAAUUGAUGCCACUUCCUUACCUAUUGGCUUUGUUGGAUGAGGGAGACGUUGGUCCAACUUAUCCAUCAAUGCCAUGUGAUCGAGUGUUGAGGCCACAAGAAUAGAUGGAGAUGAUUCCAAUAAAGAAGAUAUAACAUCACCAGGGUGCUUCCCAAUAAGUAUUUCCCAUGCUAGGACCCCAAAACUAUACACGUCACAUUUCUCAUUCACCUCCAUUGUGUAUGCAAGUUCUGUAACAAAAUAAAAGUGCUAUCAUACGCAAAAUAGGAUUCUAGUGACAAAGGCAAAAUGUGGACAAUUGUGACUAAGAAAGGCAAACUAAAAAAUAUGAUAUACUCAAUUUAGUAUAAAGAAAGGUAAUUAACCUGGAGCAGCAUAUCCAAAGGUUCCUACGAAUGAGGUCCAAUUGGAUGAAUCUGGAUUAAGAAACUUGGCUGUUCCAAAGUCUGAGACAUGAGCUACAUAUUCGGAAUCCAAAAGAACAUUCUUGCUUGAUAUAUCACGAUGAACAAUUCGAGGUGAACAUUCAUGGUGCAUAUAGCACAGAGCAUUUGCUACAUCUUUAACAACAUUCACCCUCUUAUACCAAUCAAAUGCCAUUGCUUGUCCAUCAUCCUUCAGAGUCUUCUCAACACUGCCAUUCUCCAGGAAUUCACACACCAAAAAUGAGAAUUGUGAAUGUGAACAAAACCCAUAUAACUUUACAAUGUUACGAUGUCGAAUUUCUGUCAAAGCUUGGAUCUCACAUGUGAAAGCUUUCAGAUUGAGCAUCUCUCCAUUUGGAACUGAAUGGAGUUUCUUCACAGCAACAACUUGACCUGUAGGCAGCACUGCUUUGUAAACACAUCCUUGCCCUCCAACACCAAUGAGAUGUUUGUCGUCAAAAUCUUCUGUGGCUUCAAUAAUAUUCUCGAAUACCAUUUUGCCAUCAAAACUCCAUAUUGCAAAUAUGUUAGGAGUUUGUAUACUUGUAGCCUGGUCUUCUUUGUUCGUUGAAGUUUGGCAUAAAUGAUACGAGACUCCGAAAGCAAAUAAUGCCAGUAUUAGAAUGCCCAAAGUAGGGGGUAAAAUGACUAUCAUUACUUUCUUCCUCAUAUGAUUAUGAGAUUUCCCACUUGAUGUUGAGCAAGGCUCCAAGCCAGUGACAUUUCCACACAAGCCUUNNNNNNNNNNNNNNNNNNNNNNNNNNNNNNNNNNNNNNNNNNNNNNNNNNNNNNNNNNNNNNNNNNNNNNNNNNNNNNNNNNNNNNNNNNNNNNNNNNNNNNNNNNNNNNNNNNNNNNNNNNNNNNNNNNNNNNNNNNNNNNNNNNNNNNNNNNNNNNNNNNNNAAGCUUUUUUAUUCUCCAAACAUUGAAGGUAUUGUUCCUCUCAAAGAAUUUCCACCAAGAUCAAGACUGGUAAGAAAUUUCAGUUUGCCAAGCUCUGAAGGAAUAUUUCCCUGAAAAUUAUUUUGGCUCAGACUCAUGUUCAAUAAAUUGAGCAAAUUUCCUAGUUGUAUUGGGAUUAAGCCAGACAACUUAUUUGAUCCAAGCUUCAAAAUUUGAAGUUUCUGCAUUGAUGCUAUUUCUUUGGGAACAUUUCCUGUAAGAUUAUUGUUGUCGAGUGAGAGAUCAAACAAGGGCAACUUACAUAAAUCAUGUGGAAUGUUUCCUGUAAGAUGGUUUGAGGACAGGUGAAGUCGUUGUAAUUUGGUUGCCCCAGCUAGUUCUGGUGGUAUCAAACCUGAUAAAUUAUUGUUGGAGAUCAUGAGGCUUGUGAGGCUACGAAACUUUCCCCAGUUAGGUGAAAGUUGACCAUAAAAGUGAUUGUCACUCAAUUCGAUGUAGUCCAAAUUUGGAAGUACACCAAAAGCAUUUGUUAUAUCCCCCGUUAGCUGGUUUUGCUGAAGCCCGACUCUUAUAAGGCUGGAGCAAUUCUUCAAACUCACUGAAAUUGGACCUUUGAAGUUGUUAUUAGAAGCGGAAAAAAUUUUCAACGUUCCGCCAAUGCAAAUGUUUUGGGGUAAAUGGCCUAUAAAAUUAUUGUCAUCUAGAUGCAAACCUUCCAGAGCAGUAAGCAUGCUCAUUUCUAUUGGAAUAUUGCCACCAAGUUCAUUUCCAAAAAAUAGUAAUGCCCUGACAUUUGAUAAAUUUCCAAUAGUGGAAGGAAUUGAUCCAGUGAGUUCAUUAAAGUAUAUAGAUAAUACACUAAGCUUUGACAAAUUUCCAAUGGUGAAAGGAAUGGAUUCAGAGAGUUUAUUUUCAUCAAGGAACAAGGAGUCCAAAUUGACCAAGUUGCCUAUGGAAGCUGGGAUUGCUCCAGAGAGUUCAUUAGAGGAUAUAGAUAAUACACUAAGCUUUGACAAAUUUCCAAUGGUGAAAGGAAUGGACCCAAAGAGUUUAUUUUCAUCAAGGAGCAUGAAGUUCAAAUUGACCAAGUUGCCUAUGGAAGUUGGGAUUGGUCCAGUGAGUUCAUUCAAGGAUAUAUAUAAUACACUAAGCUUUGACAAAUUUCCAAUGGUGAAAGGUAUGGACCCAGAGAGUUUAUUUUCAUGAAGACGCAUGGAGUCCAAAUUGACCAAGUUGCCUAUGGAAGCUGGGAUUGGUCCAGUGAGUUCAUUAAAGGAUAUAGAUAAUACACUAAGCUUUGACAAAUUUCCAAUGGUGAAAGGAAUGGUACCAGAGAGAUCAUUGUCAGAAAGAUUAAGAAACAAGAGUUUGGAGAGAUUACCAAUGGUAUUGGGAAUGCUACCAAAGAGGUUAUUAGUGGACAAGUCAAGAGUGUUGAGAUUGGAUAAGGAACCAAUUUGAGGAGGAAUAGUUCCAUUCAAGGAGUUGUGACUCAUAUUUAGAGUGAGAAUGUUUGGAAGUAAUGAGAAGUUGAGACUUUGAAGCGUACCUCUUAAUCCAACAUUUGUAAGAUUUAUGUUGGAAACAGAAUUGAACUCAUCACAUGCAAUUCCGAACCAAUUGCAAGGAUUAUUGCCACUCCAUGAAGAGAGAGAAGCAUGACUUUGGUUGUCAAGGCUGGAUUUCCACUUCAACAAAGCAUUUGCUUCUGAAGCAAUCUCAGAAGAAGCAGCAAAUGCACAGAAGUACAUCACAAGAAGCAGCAAAAGUGGUUGGAGCUUCAUGGACAGAAGCGUUGGAAAUAUGAACACCAUGAGUAAAUUUUGAGGAAGAAUUCAAUCACAGAUUGUCUGAUACAAUCAAAUGCAGGAGAAGUACUUACAAGCAAUUCAUGGGAUGUGCAUACUUAUAUGCAAAACAUCAUGAAACACGAACCAGAGUCAAGAGAUAUGCACACUUAUAUCAAACAAGACAGCCGAUCAGUGGGGUCAAUAUAAGUCUAGCUUGGUAUGUUGCACGCGUUUACUUUACAACACUGUUUCUGUUAGCAAGCAGAAAUUUCCAUAGUGUUAUGCAUGGGUAAAUUUCAAACUUCCACAUAACGAUUUCUGUAACACUGUAUUUUUUUAACAACUGUUUUAAUUAGAAUAUAAAAGAAAUUUAAUUUAAUUUAUGCUAUAAAUCAUUGAAUUUUAAAAAUAUAAUAAGUUUAAUUAUGUGUUUUAGAUGAGCUUAGUUGUUUCUUUUUUAGAUGAGUGUAAUUAAGAGUUACACUUUUGAUACAAGGGGAGGGGAGUUAUUAUAUACCCAUGUAAAUUGUUAUUGGUUCCUAGCUAUCAAGAGGUUGAGAGUUUUUUAUUUAUUUUAAAAUUACUCUCGUUGAAUAAAAUAUACAUGAUGAUUGCAUUAUGCAUUGUUUUCACACCAUUUUGUUGCAACGGAUAUGUUGUACAAUAAUUUGUAUAUGUCUAUUAUGAUUGUGAAGUCCUUGUGAUCGAUCAUCUUUUGAAUUUUACUAUUAAAAAAAAUAUGACUUCACACUAUCAUUAUCUCAGCACCAAUCAAGAAAUUUAUAACAUUAUAAAAAUAUAUUAAUAAUAUUUAUUUAUAUUUGAUGAUAUUUUUUAAAUGUUACCAAAAAAAAUUAGUAAUAUUUUACUAAAUGUUAAAUGAAAAAUAUUUCUAACUUUCACUGUGUAGUAGUGAAUUAUAUUUUAGAUUAUUAUAAUUAACAGUAUAACUUAUACAAUUAAUUAUUAUGAUUAUAAAUAAAUAUUAUAUAUUUAAAAUAUAUUUUAAUUAUUAUUUUAGCAAAUUAGUAUUCUAAAAGAAUAAUUACAAAUGAUAUACGUAUAUAUAAGUAAAAUCAAAUUAAAUACAAAUAUUAAGGUAGUAUUUAGUUAGUGUUAUUAAUCAUAUUUAUAUAAAUAUUUAAAUAAUCUAAUAUUUUUCUAAUAUAAAAUUCAUUAUUAUAUUUGUUAAAAAUCAUACAUGAUAAAUUUUAAUAACAUUUUUAAAUAUAAUAUGUUGAUUGAAUUUAAUAAAUGUAAUGCUAAUAUAUGGAUAUUAGACAUUCAAAUUUUUAAAUGAAUUUAUUUAUAUAAAAAUUAUUAUCAAAUAAAAUGAAAUCACUAAAAUAUACAUUUUAAAAUCUUAUAAACAAUAUUUUUUUAGUAAGUUGCGUUAAUCCUAAACGUUUAUAUCUAGGAGAAUGAUUUAUUUGAUAGAAAAACUCAUAUUUAAUUUCUUUCGUGUGUAAAUUUUUUUAUUUCAAUGACAAACAUCAAUAAUAAAUAAAACUAGUCUUGGACGGAGUAUGUAGAGGAAAUUCGUGUUCUUUGAACGGAUACAAAUAGUAUAUUAAAUUAUAUAUUUUAUCAUAAGGGAUGAGCAGGAAAGUGCAAUACUUCUGAUCUAUUAAAAGAGAAAAGUAUAAUGGAUAUGUUGAAAUACAGUCUAAAAGAUCUUUUAUUAUUUUAUCGACAGGAAAAUAAUGAUUGUGAAAUAAUUCGUGUUCUUUGGUUAUUAAUUUUUUUUUAAUUUUUAUAAAAGUAAAAAUUGUCAACAGAUCUAUUUUUGAAGUUCAAAUUUUCAAGCGUAAAAAUAAGGAUAAAAAAAAGAAUUGAAAUCAAUGAAAUGGAUCAUGCGUAAAAUUAAACAUAUGAAUAUUUACUUAAAUUACAUUAGUCAACAUUUUAAAUAUCAUGUAUGUUUCUCAUUUAAAAUAAAUUAUUUCUCUUAAAAUUUAUUUUAGAUCUCUCUUGUUAUUGGACCGACUCAUAUCUCUACAUUUUCUACCACGGCAAAGCUAGCUCCAGCCAUUGCCAAAUGAUUUGAAGUCUCACCUCUUAAAUGAAUAGAAACUUUUCGCCAGAAUUAAACUCCAUAUACUUUCUGGAAGUCUUUUGUACAGAGUCAAUUUCCAAAAUGGUGAUGUCUAGUUAAACGCUAAUAGUAGUACUAUGUAUGCUGUGGAUCCUGUCAUGUAUGUCACAUUCAUUGACUUUACAUAAAAAAGAGAGAGAAAGUUAAUUAACAUUAUUUUACUGUCUUUUAUUAUAUAUUACAUCUGGAGAAUUUGCUGGUGGAUGCUGAUGGAGAGGUUAAAGUAUCAUACUCUGCAUUGAGUGUUCUGCCUCAACAAUAAUUUGGAUCUUCCAAAUUAUUCCUGCAAGAGGUCUACACCUAUUUUUUUAUGAUAUUUGGAUAAAAAGAUUCAUUCUCUUCAUAAAAAGAGGAGGUAGAAUCAAUAAAGAGUGAUUUUUCUAUUCAUCCCUCGAGUUGAAUAACUCAUUCAAGAAAUGUUUUUGAUCCAAUCCAGAGAAAUCAAUAGAAAAAGUAAAUUUCUUAUGAUACACCAGAUCCCACUGGGUUAUUGAUAGAGUUAAUAGAUUUGUCAUUUCUUGAAAUAUCUCUUCUGAUUCAAAAUUGUGAUGUAACGUGUAUCUCCCAAUGUUUCGGUCAUGAAAUAGAUGAAAUAAACCCCAAAAUGAAUUUUUGUUCAACAAUAAAAUUUUAUUGGGACUAUCCAGUUCACCCUUUGAAACCAGCAUGCUAGCUAAUUUUUCAAAAAAUUAAAAGGAUAUUUAUGUCCAAUUUGGCAAGUUAGAGGCUGCUCCUCACAAGAUAUGUUUCGCAACAUUAUAUGGCCUCACAGGUAUUUUAGCAUUUGCUGCUGCUAUAAUCAUAUCUUUUAUCUCUCACACUCCAAUAAGAUUACUGCUUUCAUUUAUCAUCACUACUAAAAUAAUAAUAUUCUACAACGCGCAUUCAACAUCGGUGGUUCCAAAAAUGAUGUUAUUUUAGAGGCAAUGGCAUUUUAGUAAAUAAGUGAUUUAUUUUAACAACGUUUUUGCAAGAAAUGAUGUUAUUUGCGCGUUACAACAUCGUUUUUGGAACACCGUUGUUGAACGGCAAGUAACAUGAAUUGUGAACAACAUCGUUUUUUAACAAAAACGAUGUAACUUAUUCUAUUCAACAACGUUUUUAAACAAACCCGUUGUGGUCUUGGGUUUUUUUUGCUUUUUAUUUCUAUCUGAACUUAUUCUCGCUUCUCUCUCUCUUUCGGGCAAAGAACUCCUCAAUGAGGCCUUUAGGUCUUCUCCACACGUUUCUCUCUCCUUCACCCUCGAUCCCUUCCUUUUUCCUCAAAUUCCAUGCCUCCUUCUCCUUGAAGACCCCGACCUCCACCUUUCGCGCCUUCUCCGACGCCGAGGAGGACGAAGAAGACGAUGAAGAAGAAGACCAAGACUAAGACAACGUUUCUACCGACGAAUACGACGACGUUUCGGGUGAAGCUUCCAACGAGGCUGACGUAUUCCCUCAAAUUCGACGUCGAUGAGCUCGCUUCAGUCUACGACUUCCGCAUCGACAAGUUUCAGGUUUGUUCACCGUUUGUUUUUGUUUCUCUUCGUUUUCGAGAAAUUCGAAACUUAUGUGUUGAGGUCUUGAUUUGUUUUUGUUGAGUUUCAGCGGCAAGCAAUACUGGCUUUUUUGAGAGGCUUCUCGGUGGUGGUUUCCGCUCCGACGAGCAGCAGGAAGACACUGAUUGGGGAGGCCGCGGCAGAAUGUGAGUACUUAUUGACGACUGCUUUUCAUGCAGUGUUGGUAAUGUUUCUUCUAGAAGUGGACUUGUAAAUGUUGAUGUGAUUGUUUUGGACGAAGUUGAUUACCUUAGUGACAUAUCUCGUGGUACAGUCUAGGAGGAGAUUGUAAGCAUUAUUUUUUGACUUUGCAUGUUACAUAGCUUGCUCAACUUCUCCUAUUUGUUCAUGCAUAUUAGGACAAUUUCUGCAGGUUAUUUAUUGAUAAACUUCAUUCCCUAAUCUAGGCCCCCUGCCCCUGCCUCAUGGAAUUUAUAGUAUUUCUGCAGUCUAGGAUGUAUGCUUUACUAUAGAUGUAAACGGCCUUCUAUCUGUUUCUGUGGAAGAAACAACCACUGGUUAUAGGAAUGAGAUUACCAUAACUAAUGACCAAAAAAGGCUUUCAGCUGAGGAGAUUAUAAGAAUGAUUCAUGAAGCUUAGAAUUAUCAGGUUGAUGAUAGGAAGUUCAUGAAGAAGGCUAAUACAAUGAAUGCUUUGGAUGACUAUGUUUACAAGAUGAGGAAUGCAUUGAAUAAUAAGAAUAUCAGUUCAAAGCUUUGUUUACAAGAAAGGGAGAAAAUCAAAUCUGUAAUUUCGAAGGUGACAGAUUUGCUAGAGGGUGAUAAUCAGCCGUAUGAAAUAGAGGUGUUUGAGGAUCAUCUGAAUGAGCUUGUGAACCUCUUUGAUCGUGUCAUUGGCAAGUUUGCUUAGAUGUUUUUUAAGUUUUUAUUUUUUGCAAUGCUGAGAUCUGUCAUUUUGUUUGUAUUGAAUGCAAACUUUUCUAAUUUAUGAUAUUGUAGUUUAAUAUAUUUGUGCCUGACAUGUUUUAAAUUGUUAUUAUUGUUGACUUUGGCUUUUGUUAUUGUUAUUGAAUUCAUCUUUGGAUCAGUUCACAAGAACAAGCUUUGCUAUGCGUUGUUCAUCUUUCUCUGAAUGGAUCUCAGUCAAUAUUGUUGUGGAAAGAAACAUACGUUCAAUAUUGUUUCUUGUUUGUGCAAUUAUUUGUGGCUAUAUAUAUCAGGUACAAGUUUUUGCUGACAUCAUAAUCAUGUUGGAAAGUUAUUCAGGAGUCAUUAACUUGCAAUUUUCUGUGCUUGGCCAAUUGUUGUUGCAGUGUCCACCAUUUCGGUUAAGCUACCAGGGGCUGGGAGAGCCCUUGUGCUUUGCAGCAUUUGGGCCUUUUGCCACUUGUGCUUUUUAUUUAUUACAUGGCAGUUCAAGGUUACCUCAGCUACCUAAUUAGAAUGUCUUAUAAUAUUUGAUUUUUCAUGGUUUUGAUAUGGAAUGAUUUGGACAGUGUGAUGAACCAUUUCCCCUUAAGUGGAACGGUUCUUUCAGCAUCAAUUCUUGUUGGCUUCACAACAUCUCUUAUCUUGUUUUGCAGUCAUUUCCAUCAGGUAUAUUCAUUUUUUGAAUUUUAAUUUCCAAUUUUUAGGAACUUUGAUUAGGUGACAUGUUUUUAUUCACAACACAGGUGGAAGGAGACAGGGAGGUUGGGAAAAUGUCACCUUUGGUAACUGCACUUUCUUUAAAUUGAACUUUUUUCUAAUCCAUGUUAAUGCUGUGAAUCUACCUAUGUUACUUAUUUUCCAUUUCUCUUUCAGGUUAGACUUGGCACUAAAAAAGGUGCAGAGGUAGUGAAAGGGGCAAUCUUUAUGCUCUAUGCUCUUUUGGUUGCUUUUGGUCUAAUCAAGGCACUUCCUCUCACUUGUAUAGUAUGUACUUCUAAACUCAACCAAUUUUUUGCAUCUCAUUCUUUAUUUUUUUUCCCUUCUUUAAAGGUGUAGCUGUUAUUUUGGACCAUGUGCUCAUGAUUUAUUCUUUUGGUUAUGAAUAUGAUUGUGCUAGUUCCUUUGUGCAUUGACCUUGCCGAUGGGAAACCUAGUAGUUAGAUUUGUCGAAGACAAUUACAAGGCAAGUGAAUUUUUCUUAUAGACUUGUCUGUUGGUGUAUUUCUUAUAGUUUGCUAUUAAACCUAAGUUGUAUUCUCACAUAACAAAAAUAAGAUUUUCAUGGCUAAGUACUUCUGUGUGAGGCUUCAUGCAUUGUUUGGAGUUACACUGGCUUUAGGACUAGUGCUGGCUCGAAAGAGUGUGGAUGACCCUGGAAGACCCCCUGGCAUUGUUCUUAGUGCUGCCACUUCUUUUUGGCUUCCUGUUCCUCCUAAACGAGUCUUUGACUUCCUCCGUGAUGAAAACUCUAGGAAUGAGGUAUGUGCAAAAAUUCCAAAAAGCUAAGUUUAAUAACGUUUUAGUGUGAAUUAUUGUGUGUUCAUAGACCCAUUAUUAAUUAAUAGACAACCUCAUUUGGAUUUAUUAAUUAAUAGACAACCGCAUACAAUAAUAAUAAUAUUGUUUAAUUCUAAAUCAUUACUAUACAAAAUAAUGUGUUUUCGCAAGUAAAAUCAUAUAAAAGGAAAUGUGAUUUUCAAGAAAUGUACCAGAAGUACUCAUUUGUUCGGAAGGAUAAUGUAGCACUCUAUAUAGCAUAAACACUUCUUCCCAGCGCUCCUCCGCAUAUCAGCUGGUAUCUUCCAUCGUGAUAUUUUGAAACAUGUAAAUGUAAACUCAAUUAUGUCAAUAAUUAUUUUAUUACGAAAACUUUUUUCCAACAAAUGAAAAAAAUAAAUAACAUUAGUAAACAUAAAUGUGUGUGUGAGAGAUAAUAUGCAACAUUGAAAUAUAAUUGGGAAGAGAGAUGCAAGCCUUUAGAAAAAUUAAAUAUGGAAUACCAUCGUAGUAUUCAAGUAAGGUACUGUCAAAAUCCUACCUAAAUUGAAAAUCAAAUAAAAAUUUAUAACUAAUUAAAAUCAAAUAAACUUGGAUCUUUUAUAAGUUUGAUAUCAUAAAAACUAUUUCAAUUAAAUAAUCUUUAUUUGAUUUUUUAAAGCCAACCUAUCCAAAUCAACUAAUAUUACAUAUGCAGUAUGAAUCUCUUUUAUAAGAUUUUAAUGCAUUUUAGAUACGUGUUUAAUGAUUGUCCUUUUUUUUUGUUCCCUGCAGGUGCUUUGGUUUUACCCAUUAUACGUGUUUAGCAUAGUUCUUAGCACAAUUUGGCAAUUAGCAUAUUUUGCUUUACACUACUAAAAUAGAAGCCAAUUGCGCAAUCUUAUUUCAAAGUUUCCUAUUAUGGCGUCAUAUGUAAAGGUGAUUCUCACAAAAUGUUUCUCAUGUUGGUGUUGAUUGUAACAUUCUAUUUUUUCGUAAAUUAAUUUAAAAAGGAUUGUUAUUUCUAAAUAAAUAGAAUUUUAUAAAAAAUGAUAAGGUUUUCAUAAUUAAAUAAAUAAGGAGAAAUAAUUUUAUUAAUUAAAAUAAUGGUUUAGAGAAAAUAAAAAGGGUAUUUUAUUUAUUCAUUUGAUAGUGAAUAAAAUAGAGUUUAUUUUUAUAAAAUAAUAAAAUUAAUUAAAUAAAGUAAAUAAUAAGUUGUGAGUACCCUAGCUAUAAAUAGAGAAAUGUUAGGUCAGUUUUCAGAUUGACAAUAGUUUUUCAACCUCCUCUUUCUCUCAAUUUCGUUUUCCUUUCUCUUUCUCACAAAAUUCUCUCUUUUCCCGCAUACCAUCAAACCUAUCUCAGAAAAACGACGAUUUCAUAUUCAUUCACCAUUGGAUUGACGUGAAAUUUAAGAACUAGGUUUGCAACUCAAUUACGAGGAUUUUCACCGUUGGGAAUUACGAAAACAUAUCGGAUUUGAGAGUAAUACCCUUCGCAUUGUAACUUUUUUUUUCUCGCAGAAAUCCAGAGCUAUCUCGGUAAAACUACAAUCCCAAACCUUUUAACCAUUGGGUUGUUUUCAGAUUUUCAUAUGUGGUUCGCGAUUCAUUUUUGCACAUUUUCACCGUUGGGAUUUGCAAAAUAAUAUCUGUUGAGGGAUAAAUAUGCAUCGCAUAUAGGACCAUAGAAUGGAGGCUUCAAUCCAUUCUCCUUCUCUCUAACGUUUGGGAACCCUAACAGAGAAAUCGAAGGAGAAGCUCUAGAGAGCACCAGAAACGCCACAAUUGAUAACGGAGAACGCUUGAGCGACUACAUCGAGGUAAGGGAUGAGUUAUUCACAAAUGAGGAUUAAUGAGAACAUGUGUAGGGAUCCUUAGAGUACCAAUUAGAAUGAGUUUUGGGGUGUUUCUACAAUUUUUAUUUUAUUCUUAUAAUUAUAACUGUGAAUUAUAUAUGUUUGAUGAACCAGUUGAUGUCCUAAUGAAAAACUACUGUGAAAUUGAUGUGUUUUUUUGUUGAGUGUGAACCCUAUAAAUUGAACCUUUGUCUAAUUAAUGUGAAUUGAUAAAAUUAAGUAAGUAGAUGUUUAGUGUAAGAGGGAGUGAAAUAUUGAUUUUGUAUUUUCUCCUUUUCAUGCUUUUUAGUUUUUUUAUAGUUUAAAAUUAAUAUUAUAUAUGAAAUUGACCAAAGAUUUCUAGUAGACUGUGUUAUAUUCUUAGAUAAUAUAUAUAAAUUCAUGUAUAAUUAUAUAUACAAGAAAAUGUCCAUAUAAUUAUUUAGAAUUGGUACAUUGAAAGCUUACUUUGAAAUUCAUGACCCAAUAUGAUGUAUGUUGCUGGUUUUAUAUAUAUAAAUUUAGCUAUAUAUUUAUUUAUAUUAAUAUUUUAUGUAAAUAAUAUUGUAGUGUUGUUAUAGUGUGAUUCCAAAAAUUAUUCAAGUGUUGGAGUUUGAGAAUAUUAUGGUUAGAUUUGAGGUACAUGUGUAUUGAGAUGUGUGUAUUGAGUUGUGAGUUAUGAAUUAUACAAUAACCCAACCAGUGUUGUUAUUGAGAAAAGUGUUGAUGCGCAGUGUUAAAGAGAAAGUGUAGGUUUCCUAUUUAGGAAUCAGUGUUAAAUUGUAGCACAAUGUGUUAAACGUGUUUGAAACACAAGUGUGAGGUUGUAGAUAUUGUAUAAUUCAUGAGCAGUGUUUAUAAAUGGAAUGUGUGAUGAAUUGUGGAAUAACAUGUUGCUUUGAGAUUAUAGUAUUGUUAUUGAGAUUGAGUAUAAGUACAAAGUUGAACAUGUGUUAAUUUGUAAGAUACAUUUAAACAUGUGAUGGUGGAUUAUGACACUAUGAUAUUUGAAAUUGUGAAUGAGUUUUGACUGUGAAUAAGUGUGUGGUUAACACUUGAUGUGACAUUACUUGUGUUGUAAGCUCUGAAUUGUACAAUAAUCCGACUAGUGUUAUCUUGAGAAAAGUGUUGAUGCACAAUAUUAAAGAGAAAGUAUAGGUUUCUUAUUUAGGAAUCAGUGUUAAAGAGAAAAUAUAGGUUUUUUAUUUAGGAACUAGUGUUAAAUUGUAGCACAAUUGUGUUAAACGUGUUUAAAACACGAGUGUGAGGUCGUGAGUAUUGUAUAGUUCAUGAGUAGUGUCUGCAUGCAAAAAAUUAUUUUAGGGGUUAGACCUGAAUCAGGAGGGAGAGGCCCUGAAGGACUCUUCGGAGUGUAGGCCUUGGGAGUCACCUGGUUUGAGUGCUCUUUUAAGCAUGUGCCGAUCCCGCAUGGUUGGAGCAUUAUCGCAAAACAGCGUGACCCUGACUGGUCUCCCUAUGAUUUUACUUAGUGAGAGUGACUUGACAUACCCAUUGUGUGGUGUGUCUUGUUAUGUACUCCUAAGCGCCCUAGGGUGGUUUUUCACUGACAUGGUACCACAUUGCAUAUAGACUUGAGUCUUAGCAUAACUGUUGCAUACGCUUGCUAAUUAUUUAUUAUGAAAUAUAUUAUUUCUUGAUCAAAGUGUGUGAUUCUUGUGUAAUGUGAUUGAUGAUUGAAAAGUGAAUUAUGAAUGACAAAGUGAUUGAAUUACGUGAGUUAUGUUUAAGUAAGUUUUAUUUUAUUUAUAUGAUAUGUAUAUCUAGUUGUCUUGCUUCUCUAUUAGUUAGGAAUGUGAUAACUUACUCUCCGUGUGUCGUUUGUUUUUGGAUCCUGUGAUGAUCUUGAAACUUUGUGUUCGAGGGAACAGAUGACUAGAUGAAUUGUUUUAAGGAACCUUGUGCUGAAGGAUGUCAGGACAUAAUGCUCUAAUAGGAUGUGACAUUGGGGCAUAAUAGUUAGGGGUGGGUAAACGGGCCCAGGUCCAUGGACUAGCCCGCGGGGCCCGCGGUCCGCACGGGUUACAGACCAAUUAUUUUAAACGAUCAAUGGUUAUGUCAUAUUUUUUGAUUCGUCCCGCUUAACCCGCGGACUAUGCAGGUUUGGCUCGCAGGGUUUGCGAGUUACUCGUAGCCCACAUUAGGUUUGAUUUGUGUGACCCUGACCCAAAGAUGAUAAAGAUAAAAAAAGGAUAAGAUAAUAAAAAUAAAAGAUAACAGAAAGAAAUAAAAGAUUAAGAUAAAAAAGAUAAGUGAUAACAUGCUAAAAAUCUUCAUUUUUUCAUAUUUUCUCGAUCUUUUUUCUUUUAAUUUAUACUUUUCAUAUCUACAAGCCAUAAAUAAUAAAAAUAUAAAUUCUUAUCAUUUAAGCUAAAAAUAAUUGUUAAAUAAAUAUUUUUAAAGAUAUUUCAAUAUACUUUUAUUAUAAAACAUAGCUCACAUCAUAUUUAGCAGUUAUCAUUGUGGCAGGCUAAGAACACUUUUACUUAUCACGGUUUUUCUCCAUCACGCAGCCUCACGAUUUUUUUCCACCACGCAGUUACGCACACGCGCAAGUCAUACGACUUUUUCCCUUACAAGGAAAAUAAAACGCGACUUACACUCACGCAGUCACGCGACACACCAUAGCGGCACAGCCUCGGCCCACCAUCACGCCACCAUGCAAAGUACAUCUCUUCUCUCUCUAGAAUUUGUUUUUAUCCCAUUUUUGUUGGGGCUGAUUCAUUGUUGUUGUACUCUUAAAUGUGAAGAUGGAGAAAACUCAAGCUACUUCAAAUAUGGAAUCAUUUGUUGUUGGAGAUGUUUAAAUUUCAUAUUUUAGAUUUAUUGCUUGGAUUUUCUUUUGUUAAGACAUUAUUUAUUUAAUUGAUGUAAUUGACUAAUUAUUAAGAUUUUAUUUACAUUUGUAUUGAACUUAAUUUGAUUGUAUUGUAUUUUUAUUACAAUUAAAAUUCUUUUAAAACUAGGCCCGUGGACCGGCCCGUUUGACCCGCGGGAUCCGUGUGGUGGAGGCGGACCAAUUUAUUUGGUCCGUGUAAGAAGCUGGACGGACUGGCCCGGUCCGCUGUCAAUGCGGGCUUAUGCGGGCGGGCCUUACGCGGGACGGGUCGGCCCACUUACCCACCCCUAAUAAUAGUCUAUUUUAUUUUACCCCACUGAUUUAACAAAUUUUUUUAUUUAUAAAUUUUGAUGGCCUUGUUUUGAGCCGAAUAUAUUUUAAAUAAAUUUUAUUUGGUAAUAGUAAAGUAAAUGUGAACCUUUUACCCACGUGAAUUUUUUUACCAAUAUUUUUAUAUGUUUUAUUUAUUUAUAUAUAUGUCGGGGUAGAAGGUGUCACAUUGGUCAGCAUACCACAUUUUUCUUCUAGAACACAUGAUAUCUAGGUAAUUCUAAAAGUAUGAAACAAUUUUAAAUAGACUUUUGAAGAACCUUAUAGUUAAAUACACUUUGACCAAUUUUAAAGAAUAAAAGUAUGAAACAAUAUAUAAACUCGAGAAUAUCAUUCUGUUAGCCUAUUUUAAUUCCAAAUUAUAAUAUUAAUUCCAAACUAUAUAUAAAAAAACCCUAAAAAGCAAGAAAAGGGAAAAAAUACAAAAUCAAUUUCUCAGUCCCUCUUAUAGUAAAUAUUUUCUUAUUUAAUUUCAUCAAUUCACACUAAUUAGAAAAAUACUCAGUUUCUAGUGUUCAUACUCAACACACGAACACAUCAAUUUCAUAGCAAUCUCACAUCGGAACACCAAUUAGUUUGUCAAACAUAUAUAAUUCACAGUUAUAGUUGUAAACAUAGAAUCAAAAUUUCAUAAACACCCCAAAAUUCAUGUCAAUUGAUCUUCUAAGGAUCCCUACACAUGUUCUCACUACUCUCAAUGGUUAACAAGUCAGGGAUCAUAGUUUUACUAGAAAAGGGAACAAUCUUGAAGAAAGAGAGAGUGUAGAAACAUCUUAAGAUAAGUACUGACCUAAUAUGUUUCUAUUGAUAGCUAAGAUGUUUUGAUCAUAUUAUUUACUCUAUUUUUCUUUAUUUUAUUGUUUUAUAAAAAUGAACUAUAUUUACUUAUUAUGAAAUGAGUAAAUAUAAUAUUCUUUUUAUUUUCUAAAAACACAUUUAUUUUAUUUACCUUAAAACCAUUAUUUUAAUAAAUAAAAUUAUUUCUCCUUAUUUAUUAAAUUAAAAACUUUAUUAUUUUUAUAAAACUUUAUUUAUUUUUAAAUAAAAGACUUUUUAAUUUAUUUAAAAAAAUGGAAUGUUAAUGUGACUUUUGAGUAGUUAGUACAAGGCUCUAUCCAACUAAGCUAAUAGGCCAAUUAUGUUAUAAAAUAAUUAAUAUCGUUAUAUAUAAUACUAAAAUUUAUAAUGUAUAUUUAAUGCACAUAUAAAUUUAAAUAAUAAAUUUAGUGACAAUUAAUUUUGAUCUAAUAAUUAAUUUUUUUACAUAUAUGAAUUGUAAAUGAAAUCUAUGAUUUUUUUUAAAAUUUUUAUAUAUAUAUAUAUAUAUAUAUAUAUAUAUAUAUAUAUAUAUAUAUAUAUAUAUAUAUAUAUAUAUACUAUUAGAUCAAAAUGCAUUAGUAGAUUUAUGUUAAUAAUGUAUUUUUUACAUAUAUAAUUUUUUUAUUAAACCUACGAUUUUUAUUUACAAUUUAUAUAUGUAAACAAAUUAAUUAUUAGAUUAAAAUUAAUUGUCACAAAAUUUAUUAUGUAAAUUUAUAUAUGCAUUAAGUAUACAUGAAAUUUUUUAGUGUUAUCUAUAGUGACAUUAAUUAUUUUAACAUAAUUGACUUAUUAACUUAGUUGGUUAGAGCGUCGUACUAACAAUGUCUGUAAUAUGGGAAUUACAAUGUUGUGUUGGGUAUACUAGAAAAACAAAUGGUGCACGUAGCAAUUCUCAAACCAAUAAUGUUUUAUGUUGAACUUUUAUGGACUUUCGUAUAUUUUGGGUUUUUUAAUUGUAAUCCAUAGCCCAAGUAUAUCAACACACUUUCGUAGGAACUAGGGUUAUCAGAAAUUAAAUGUAUAUAGAAGCAGUUUUCUUUAAGCUUUCCUUUAUCGUCCCCUUGCAAUUUAUCUUUCUUAGUCUAGUUAGCAGCAGAGUCUAUCAAUCUAAAUGUGGAAUGCUAUUCAGUUAUCUAAGACUAGACCACUCUAGAGGAUAAGACCCUACAUCGUAGUUCUAAAAAAUACAUUAUUAUGGGUCAUAUGUAAAGGUGAUUCUCACAAAAUGUUUCUCUUGCUGAUGUUGGGAGCAUAACACAUUUUUCUUCUAGAACACAUGAUAUCUAGGCAAUUCUAUCAUGAGCAUAAUGCUUUACGUAAAACAUCCAAUCAAAAACUCAAGAUAAAAUUUAAAUAAUUUCAGUUCAAGCUUCCUUAUAAGUAGUUCAUGCAUUUUCCUUUUCUUUGCUGACUUGUCGUUAAUUUUUAAUUAAUUGAAGGAAAGGGAACAAUUGAUUUGAAUUAUUAUAUUUUCUGAAAAAAAGAAUAACACUAUAUUUAAUUUGUUUCCUUUAUUUUGAUAGGGAAAAAGUAAGGCUUACAAAUGUUAUCAUUAAUUUGGUAAAGGUAUCCAAAGUUCAGAAACCCAAAAAACUAAAAUAAAAUGACCUACAAUAUAAAAAAAAAAGAUACAAUACAAAAAUAGAAAAGAACAAUUAAAACUCAAGCAUGUUUAUUAAGCUCAAUCUUUCAGCUAUAUAUAAGUGACAAUGUAGAGCUAAUCCAUUGAAGAUGAGCUUGACAUUACCAGCUCAUUGGCAACCUGCUCCAUGGUAGGGCGAGAUCGUGGACUUUCAGUCAAGCAGGCCAUUGCUAUCUUUGCAAUUGAUGCCACUUCCUUACCAAUUGGCUUUGUUGGAUGAGGGAGACGUUGGUCCAACUUAUCCAUCAAUGCCAUGUGAUCGAGUCUUGAGGCCACAAGAGUAGAUGGAGAUGAUCCCAAUAAAGAAGAUAUAACAUCACCAGGGUGCUUCCCAAUAAGUAUUUCCCUUGCUAGGACCCCAAAACUAUACACGUCACAUUUCUCAUUCACCUCCAUUGUGUAUGCAAGUUCUGUAACAAAAUAAAAGUGCUAUCAUACGCAAAAUAGGAUUCUAGUGACAAAGGCAAAAUGUGGACAAUUGUGACUAAGAAAGGCAAACUAAAAAAUAUGAUAUGCUCAAUUUAGUAUAAAGAAAGGUAAUUAACCUGGAGCAGCAUAUCCAAAGGUUCCUACGAAUGAGGUCCAAUUGGAUGAAUCUGGAUUAAGAAACUUGGCUGUUCCAAAGUCUGAGACAUGAGCUACAUAUUCGGAAUCCAAAAGAACAUUCUUGCUUGAUAUAUCACGAUGAACAAUUCGAGGUGAACAUUCAUGGUGCAUAUAGCACAGAGCAUUUGCUACAUCUUUAACAACAUUCACCCUCUUAUACCAAUCAAAUGCCAUUGCUUGUCCAUCAUCCUUCAGAGUCUUCUCAACACUGCCAUUCUCCAGGAAUUCACACACCAAAAAUGAGAAUUGUGAAUGUGAACAAAACCCAUAUAACUUUACAAUGUUACGAUGUCGAAUUUCUGUCAAAGCUUGGAUCUCACAUGUGAAAGCUUUCAGAUUGAGCAUCUCUCCAUUUGGAACUGAAUGGAGUUUCUUCACAGCAACAACUUGACCUGUAGGCAGCACUGCUUUGUAAACACAUCCUUGCCCUCCAACACCAAUGAGAUGUUUGUCGUCAAAAUCUUCUGUGGCUUCAAUAAUAUUCUCAAAUACCAUUUUGCCAUCAAAACUCCAUAUUGCAAAUAUGUUAGGAGUUUGUAUACUUGUAGCCUGGUCUUCUUUGUUCGUUGAGGUUUGGCAUAAAUGAUACGAGACUCCGAAAGCAAAUAAUGCCAGUAUUAGAAUGCCCAAAGUAAGGGGUAAAAUUACUAUCAUUACUUUCUUCCUCAUAUGAUUAUGAGAUUUCCCACUUGAUGUUGAGCAAGGCUCCAAGCCAGUGACAUUGCCACACAAGCCUUUAUUAUUUCUCAAUGCUUCAAUUUUAGCAUUGUGGAAGGCUAGAAUGUUUGGAAGUGGACCCUCAAACUGGUUGUAUGAUAUAUCAAUAGAUGUCAAGCUCGUCAUAUCAUCGAAGCUAGAGAGAUUACCUGAAAGAUUAUUGUGAGAGACAUUCAGUGCUUCUAAGCCUUUUAAUUCUCCAAACAUUGAAGGUAUUGUUCCUCUCAAAGAAUUUCCACCAAGAUCAAGACUCGUAAGAAAUUUCAGUUUGCCAAGCUCUGAAGGAAUAUUUCCCUGAAAAUUAUUUUGGCUCAGACUCAUGUUCAAUAAAUUGAGCAAAUUUCCUAGUUGUUUUGGGAUUAAGCCAGACAACUUAUUUGAUCCAAGCUUCAAAAAUUGAAGUUUCUGCAUUGAUGCUAUUUCUUUGGGAACAUUUCCUGUAAGAUUAUUGUUGUCGAGUGAGAGAUCAAACAAGGGCAAGUUACAUAAAUCAUGUGGAAUGUUUCCUGUAAGAUGGUUUGAAGACAGCUGAAGUCGUUGUAAUUUGGUUGCCCCAGCUAGCUCUGGUGGUAUCACACCUGAUAAAUUAUUGUUGGAGAUCAUGAGGCUUGUGAGGCUACGAAACUUUACCCAGUUAGGUGAAAGUUGACCAUAAAAGUUAUUGUCGCUCAAUUCGAGGUAGUCCAAAUUUGGAAGUACACCAAAAGCAUCUGUUAUAUCCCCAGUUAGCUGGUUUCGCUGAAGCCUGACUCUUAUAAGGCUGGAGCAAUUCUUCCAACUCACUGGAAUUGGGCCUAUGAAGUUGUUAUUUUCAGCGGAAAAAUAUUUCAACGUUCCACCAAUGCAAAUGUUUUGAGGUAAAUGGCCUAUAAAAUUAUUGUCAGCUAGCUGCAAAUUUUCCAGAGCAGUAAGCAUGUUCAUUUCUAUUGGAAUCUUGCCACCAAGUUGAUUUCCAAAAAAUAGUAAUGCCCUGCCAUUUGAUAAAUUUCCAAUAGUGGAAGGAAUUGAUCCAGUGAGUUCAUUAGAGUAUAUAAAUAAUUCACUAAGCUUUGACAAAUUUCCAAUGAUGAAAGGAAUGGACCCAGAGAGUUCAUUUCUAUCAAGGAACAAGGAGUCCAAAUGGACCAAGUAGCCUAUGGAAGCUGGGAUUGGUCCAGUGAGCUCAUUAGAUUGUAUAAAUAAUUCACUAAGCUUUGACAAAUUUCCAAUGGUGAAAGGAAUGGACCCAGAGAGUUCAUUUCCAUCAAGCAACAAGGAGUCCAAAUGGACCAAAUUGCCUAUGGAAGCUGGGAUUGCUCCAGAGAGGCUGUUGCCCGACAGUUGGAUAGUGGAAAGUGAAUGGAGAUUUCCCACUCCAUCAGGAAUAGAACCAUAUAAACUGUUUUUAUAAAGGUAAAGAUAGUAUAAAUUGCUCAAGUUUCCAAUUGUAGAGGGGAUUUCACCAGAGAGAAAGUUAUCAGACAAAUCAAGUUGACCAAGUUGUUUCAAAAAACCAAUUUCAGGAGGAAUGAAUCCAUAAAGACUAUUAUUUCCGAGAUCUAGAAUCUGGAGAUUAACCAACUUCCCAAUUUCUUCGGGCAUGGAGCCAGACAAGCCACUUUUCCACAUACGAAGAAUCUUUAGGUUCCUUAACUUCCCAAUAUCACGAGGAAUAGACCCGCUGAAACUGGAUUGGCUCAUGUCAAGCCAUGUUAGAUUCCUCAGCAUCCAAAUUUCUUUGGGAAUGGAGCCAGAAAGCCCACUUUUCCAAAGCCAGAGAGUCUCGACGCUCCUCAAAUUCACAAUUUCUUUGGGGAUGGAACCGUUGAAGUUAUUACCAGCAAAUGACAAAUGCUUUAGGUUCAUAUGCCAAAUUCUCAGUGGAAUGUUGCCAGAAAGGUCGUUGCUUUCGACAUCUAGAUGAGACAAAUUGCAUAACUUUUCUAUUGAGAUUGGGAUAGUCCCUGAGAUAUUGGACCGAGGAAUAUCAAGUAUUCUCAGAUUCAUCAAUCUACCCAUUUCUUGAGGAAGGGAUCCAGUGAAAUUAUUAUCACCUAUGCGCAAUGUAUGAAGACCAACCAAGUGUACUAUUUCAGAAGGAAUAGUACCAGAGAGAUCAUUGUCAGAAAGAUUAAGAAACAAGAGUUUGGAGAGAUUAUCAAUGGUAUUGGGAAUGCUACCAAAGAGGUUAUUAGUGGACAAGUCAAGAGUGUUGAGAUUGGAUAAGGAACCAAUUUGAGGAGGAAUAGUUCCAUUCAAGGAGUUGUGACUCAUAUUUAGAGUGAGAAUGUUUGGAAGUAAUGAGAAGUUGAGACUGUGAAGCGUACCUCUUAAUCCAACAUUUGUAAGAUUUAUGUUGGAAACAGAAUUGAACUCAUCACAUGCAAUUCCGAACCAAGUGCAAGGAUUAUCGCCACUCCAUGAAGAGAGAGAAGCAUGACUUUGGUUGUCAAGGCUGGAUUUCCACUUCAACAAAGCAUUUGCUUCUGAAGCAAUCUCAGAAGAAGAAGCAGCAAAUGCACAGAAGUACAUCACAAGAAGCAGCAAAAGUGGUUGGAGCUUCAUGGACAGAAGCGUUGGAAAUAUGAACACCAUGAGGAAAUUUUGAGGAAGGAUUCAAUCACAGAUUGUCUGAUACAAUCAAAUCCAGGAGAAGUACUUACAAGCAAUUCAUGGGAUAUGCAUAUUUAUAUGCAAAACAUCAUGAAACACGAACCAGAGUCAAGAAAUAUUGUACUUUUCUUUCGUUGAAGUCAAGAGAUAUUUUACUGUAUCUACAUAAAUAUAUGUUACAGCUUGGUUCAAAAGGUUCAAAAUAGAAAAGUUUUACACCUUUAAUCUCCAACCUUUUGCAACUGUGCUUUCGAAGCUAUCCUUUUUAUUUUAAGCUUUUGACGUUUUUUAAAACAAUUAAAUAAUUAUAAUUUUUUAUAAAACAUUUAUUUUGAGUUAAAAAUAAGCCCGUGUUUUUUGGUAUAGAUUUUUUUGUCUAACUAUAUAUAUUCUUUAAUGAAAGUUAUGCUGUUCAAGUCAAAUACCAUAUCAAAUACCAUAAUUAUGAAUAAUCAAAAGUCAAACUUGAAACUACUACUUAAACUUGAACAACUCACAAUAAUUGAUUCACAUAUUCACUCACUAAUUUUUUGUGUACUAUGAACAUUAAAUCAUCAUGAUAAUUUUUUUACUAAAAAUUUAAAGAUCUUCGCAUCAACUAAAAAUAUAAUCAAAAUAUAAUAUAUAACUAAAAAGUAAUUAUAAUCUUAUAAGUUGACUUUAUAAGAUUAAGUUAGGCUUAUAUUCAAAUUGUAAGAGUAAAUUAGAAUUUUUGUUCAUUAUCUAUAUUUUAGGUUUUAAUUUAACUAGUCCAUUAAAUUUAAAAUUUUUUACUUUAGUUUAGACCAUUAAAAUUUCUCUUUGUUAAACAAGUUUGGUGACAUGAAUAAAUUGUAAGAGAUAUCAUAUGGGCUAAAAUUGACAUUGUUAGUGUAAAAAACAAAUUUGGUCUAACCCAUGUGAUAGACUAAAACGAAACUUUUGAAGUACAAAAUCCCAAACUAAAACUUAAAAUAUAGAUAAGAAUCCAAUUUAUUUUUUUUAAAAAAAAAAACCUUUUUUGCUUCUCUAUCUUGGUUGAGAAUUAUUUUGGUUGAUUAUUUUUUGUGGUUUUUCUUGUCCUAAUUAUAUUUUUUAUCCAUAAAAUUCAAAUGUAAGACAUUAAUUAUUUAAGGGAAUAAGAGAAUUAGUGUAAUACCACUUAAAUCAAUAACUUAUAGGUAAGUGAAACAUUUUCUAUAUUACUUUUUUUAUAUUUUCCAUUUAUAUUUCUAUUGCAGAUUAAUUACAAUUUGAUUUUAGUUAUCACAUAUAUGAUUAUCGUACUUCACAAAAUCAAAAUUAAAAUUUACUUUUAAAUCAUUAUCUUUUAAUUAUGACCAAUUAAUUUAGGAAAUAAAUGUUAGGAAACAUUAAUCAAUAAUAUUUACAUUCCAAAUGGUUUUUUCCUUAUUUAAAAUAAUUAAAUUUCAAAUUAUCCUUGAGAAACUUUAAAUAAAAUAUUUAUAACUAAUUUUUAUUUCUAAUGAACACAAUAGAACCUUUUUCAGGGCAACAUAAUAGAACUUUAAAUUAAAUAUAAUUAUUAUUUUCUGGUAUUGUGAUUAUAUGAUCUUAAUAAAUAGCUUUAUAUAUUAUAUAAGUCUUAAAAAAUGCUGCUAAAAAAUAUAUAUAAGUUUUAUAAAAAAUUACUGUAAUAAAGUUAUGUAUUAUUAAAUAUAUAAUUUAGAUAAAAAAAUAUUAAUUUGUUGCAGUCCCUUAUACAUUUUAAUUAUAUUAAAUCAUUUAAAUGUUAUAAUAUUGAAAACUAAUUAGGAUGAAGACUGAAGAGAAGCGAUAAAUUCAUAAUACGGAAGUAAUUAACGUGAGAAAGAAAAUAUCAAACAAGACAGCCGAUCAGUGGGGUCAAUAGAAGUCUAGCUUGGUAUGUUGCGCGCGUUUACUUUACAAAACUGUUACUGUUAGCAAGCAGAAAUUUCCAUACUGUAAUAAUGCAUGGGCAAAUUUCAAACUUCCACAUGACCAUUUAUGUAACACUGUAAUUUUUUUUAAGGUAAAAUUGUAAAAUUGAUCUCUUACUUUAUCUUUAGUUUUGGAUUUGAUCUCUCAUUUUUUUAAUUCACAAAUUUGAUCCUCCUACCAAAAAAUAUUGACUAUCAUGUAUCACGUUCCUAUUGGAUGAUGACUAUUACGUGUCAUAUUCUGAUUGAUCAAUGAACACAACAAUGUAUUUCAUCUUUCAUGGAAUUUACAUCUAAUAAUAUGACAUGUGAUAGUCAUCAUCCAAUAGUAACGUGACAUGUGACAAUCAACGUCACUAGCUAUUAAUUGUGACAUAAGGGAUCAACAUUGCACGAUUUUACAAAAUAGGAGGAUCAAAUUCAUGAAUUAAAAAAUUGGGAGACCAAAUCCAAAACUAGAGAUAAAGUAAGAGACCAAUUUUAUAAUUUUGCCUUUUUUUAACAACUUUUUUAAUUAAAAUAUAAAAGAAAUUUAAUUUAGUUUAUGCUAUAAAUCAUUGAGUUUUAAAAAUAUAAUAAGUUUAAUUAUGUGUUUUAGAUGAGCUUAGUUGUUUUUUUUUUAGAUGAGUGUAAUUAAGAGUUGCACUUUUGAUACAAGUGGAGGGGAGUUAGUAUAGACCUCAUGUAAAUUGUUAUAGAUUCCUAACUAUUAAAGUGGUUGAGAAUUUUUUAUUUAUUUUAGAAUUACUCUCAUUGAAUAAAAUAUACAUGAUGAUUCCAUUAUAUAUUAUUUUUCACAUCCUUUUGUUGCAAGAGAAGCGGGAUUCUAUUAUUAUAUUUUUUGGCACCUCCAUUAAUAUAGUCUUUCUUCUUAAUUAUGUAUCUUUUUACAUUGACAAGGUUCUAAGUUUAGAACUAUUAUUGGUUAAACAAAAUGAUACCCAAGCCAAUUAAUUCAAGCACUUGACGCUAGUAAUCAUUAAUUUUACUAAUAAUUUUUUGGAAAAAAAUUAUUAGUCACAUAUGAUGCUCUUACAAAAAAUAAUACAGUAGUGACAUUUUACUAAAGAUUUUAGUUUAUAUAUUCAUAAAAUAUCAUAAAAAUAUAUUAAUAAUAUUUAUUUAUAUUUGGUGAUAUUUUUUAAAUGUUACUAAAAUAAUAUUUUACUAAAUUUUAAAUAGAAAAUAAUACUAAUUGUCACUGUGUAGUAGUGAAUUAUAUUUUAGAUUAUUAAAAUUAACAGUAUAAAUUAUAAAAUUAAUUAUUAUGAUUAUAAAUAAAUUAUUAUAUAUUUAAAAUAUAUUUUAAUUAUUAUUUUAGCAAAUUAGUAUUCUAAAAUAAUAAUUACAAAUGAUAUAUGUAUAUAUAAGUAAAAUCAAAUUAAAUACAAAUAUUAAUGUAGUAUUUAGUUAGUGUUAUUAAUCAUAUUUAUAUAAAUAUUUAAAUAAUCUAGCAUUUUUCUUAUAUAAUAUUCAUUAUUAUAUUUGUUAAAAUCAUACAUGAUAAAUUUUAAUAAUAUUGUUAAAUAUAAUAUGUUGAUUGAAUUUAAUAAAUAUAAUGUUAAUAUAUGGAUGAUAGACAUUCAAAUUUUUUAAAUGAAUUUAUUUAUAUAAAAAUUAUUAUUAAAUAAAAUGAAAUUACUAAAAUAUACAUUUUAAAGAAUAUUUGUUUAGUAAGAUGUGUUAAUCCUAAAUGUUUAUAUGUAGGAGAAUGACUUAUUUAGUAGAGAAACUCAUAUUUGAUUUUUUUUAUGUGUAAAUUUUUUUAUUUUAAUGACAGACAUGGAUAAUGAAUAAAAUUAAUCUUUGGAUUAGUAGUUAGAAGAAAUCCGUAUUCUUUGAACCGAUAAAAAAAAUUAUAUUAAAUUAUAUAUUUUAUCAUAAGGGAUGAGGAGCAAAAGUGAGUUUUUUUUCUUAAAUACACCUUUUCUUUUUUGUUUUUUUUUUAAUCUAUACUACUUUAUAAUUACUUUCUCUCUCCUUUUUGUUUUUUUAAUUUAAAAUAUUAUAAAAUAUAAAUAUUAUAUUAUAUAAUUUUUUAAUUGGUUUUAAAAUUACUUAUUUAUUGAAUUAAAUUAUAUAUAUAUAUAUAUUAAUUUUUUUAAAGAAAAUGAUAUUAUUAAAUAUAAUUAUUUUUGUUUUAUUAUUUAAUUUACUUAACAUAUUUUUUAGGUAAAUAUUUUUAUUUAAAAUCUGAAUUUUCUAAUAUAAUUAUAUUAUUAAAUAUAAUUAGUUUGUUUAUUUCAUUAGAUUUAAUUAAAAAUGAGAAGACUUUUUGUUUAACAAUUUAUUAAUAGAAGAACAUUAUAUUAUAUUAUUAAUAAAAUACUUAAAUAAUUGCAUCUGGCUAAGAAAAAAUUAAAAAUAGAGAUAUGUUAGGACAAUUGUUUUUGUUAUAACCAUAUUCCCGAAAAAUUUACAUUUUUUUCUACUUUCUCGUUUAGAGUUAAAACCGGACUAUCCUUUGCGUUCUCUUUCUUUUAUUUUUCAUAUUUUAAUCUUUUAUAAGUCAUAAAUAAUAAAAAUAUCAAUUUUUAUCACUUAAGUCAAAGAUAACUGUUAAAUAAAUAUUUUUAAUAUAUUUUUAUUUAAAGAUAUUUUUAUUUAAAAAUAUUUUCAAAAGGAUAUUUUACUCUAAAAAUAUUUUUAGAGUAAAAUAUCCUUUUGUACUUCAUUCACGCUCUAUCAUCCUAUUUAGUUAAAGUACUAAAAGGCAAGGGUUGAAAUUAAUAUAUAAUUUAAUUAAUUUAUUAAAACGACUCAUACAAAUUUUACUAAAAGCAAAUUUAGUCUUCUUAAUUUUUUUGUUAACAUUAUUAAUUAAGUAUUAAAAUAUUUAUUAAUAGCAAUAUUACUGGAAUAAAUUACACUUCCCUCUCUUAAAAAAUACGAAUAUCACACUAUCAUCUCCUCUUAUAUUAAAAAUUUUACUCUCUUUACCUAACAAAUUUGAAUACAUUACACUUUAUUUCUUUUUAAUUUUGUGUUAAAAUUCUGUUUGUUUCUUUUAAAAUAAACUAGAUUAUUAAAAUAUUCUUUACACUACCACCUCCUCAAAGGUGCAAAUAUUUCACUGCACUCUCCUCUUGUGUUAAAAUAUAUACUUCAUCUCUUAACUAAUGUGUGCGCGCGAUAUAUAUAUAUAUAUAUAUAUAUAUAUAUAUAUAUAUAUAUAUAUAUAUAUAUAUAUAAAAUGUGUGAUAAUUAAUUUUUUUAAACAAUUAUAAAAUUUUAAUGUCUGUAUACACACACAUUUUAUUAGUUUGUUAGGUAGUGAAUUUUAUUAUAAUUAAAUUUUAUUUAAUAAUAGAUUUUUACAUAUAUAUUCAUGUGAAAAGUUAUGUGCGCGUUACAUUUAUCAAAAUUAAUAAAUAUAGUAUUUAGAUUUAAUAAUAGAGGAUAUUAUGAAAAUUAAUCAUAUAUUAUUUUUUCACGACAAAUUUUUUAGCCAUUGCUGAAGUACUAGAUUUCCACCCUUAAUUACAAUGUACGGGUAUAAAUGAGUUCAAAAUACUCCAAUUCAAAAUUUGAGCCAUAACAUUUCAUUUCCAAAUUAACAUAAUAUUGUUUGCAUAAUUAAGUCACUUUAUUAGCUUAUUUAUUUUCGUAUUUUUAGUUCUACACCACUCUCUAUUUAAUGUUUGUAACCUAAAAAAUUAUCUAUUUAAAGUGAGUUUUUUUUUUUAUCGGCAAUAUUAAGACAAAAUCAAAACCGCGAUUUUUAUCAUGGUUCCUUUCUCUCUUCCCUUCUAUUUAAGGUGGGUAUGCUUAGUAAUUAUUGAACAUAAAACAAACAUAUACUAUUUAGUGGGUUAAAGUUGUUAUUUUUUAUUUUAAAAGAAAAAAAACAAUUACUAAUAAUAAGUAAUGUAUAUACAUCUUUCAAUUUGACAAACAUUAAAUUAAACUUAAAGUGAAUUACUACUUAUGCACUUUAAUUUCAAGAAAUUAAGCUCAAUUUCAAUGAAAUUUAAUAAUUUGAUACUUUGUCUUUUUAAGAGAAAAUGUCCAUGACACAAACUGCAAAUUAAGUUAUAAAAACUUUAUUUUCGAUGGGUACUUAAAAAAAAAAAAACAGGUGAAAUAUAUACCGUAGUAUGACUUCAAGAAUAUGUAUAAUAGUUAAAUCGAUACCAAGGUUAGGUAGAUUUCUUGUGAAUGAAUCCUGCAAACAUAUCAUUAUCAACGCGAGUCGUGUUAGAAUAGCCUCAAAAUUCAAUCAUCCACUUGAAAAUUUGACCACUAAGGCAAAUUCUCACUUCUCUGCGUAUUUUUUUUCCUAACCUAACAUUUUUUGCUAAUCUAACAUGAUGUUAGAAUAUGUAACGCGAACAAUAUUAAAGAUAAAUAAAAUAAAUAAAUACAUAAAUAUGUAAAAGCAUACACAUUAUUACAUCAGAAGCUUUAUAGGAGUACAUAGUAUACAACAAUAUACAUAUUGGAUCAAGCUCCAUGCGUCCUUAAUUUGCACGGUUAAAAGUUUACAAUGUGAAAAGAAUCCAUACCUUGUAAUAUAAUAAGGAAUAAAUAACACAAAAUAUAUAAGGAAAAACAUACAAAGUAUAUAAAUUAACAAAUAUUAUAUUAAUUUUUAAAAAAAUAAUUCUUCAUAGAAAGUUAAUUUUUAUAUUUAAAUUUUAAUUUUUCUUCAUUACACUUGAAAUGAAUGCAAAUAACUUCCGAUUCUAAACAAAUAUUAAAUAUAAGAUGUAACGUGAAUAAUAUUAAAGAUGAUUAAAGAAAAUAAAUAUGUAAAAGUAUACAUUAUUACAUGGAAUUGAGCAAAUUAAAGCAAUUCAAAUAUUUUUCACUAAUCAGUAAAAUGGUACUUAAACUGAAGUUCCGUAAUGCAAAGAAUUAUUCAUUUUAAAUACACACUUAAAUCAGUUUUCCUUGUAAGGUAGUGCAUGCAAUUCAAAUAUUAUAGAAUUCUACUUUUUGUUUGCUAACUAUAAAAGGAUUCUAAUGUUCUAUAACAUUUUUUCUGUCCUUUUCUAUCUACGUACUCUCCUGGAUAGUUGGUAAAAUAUAUAUAUUUUAAUUAGCUACAAAAUAUCAUCUUCGGUCUCUUUUACAAGCCUUUCUACAUCUUUACCUGCAACAUAAAAUUCCAAAAGUUUUGUUGUUAAAAGUAGAACGGGGAAACUAUUAAUAACAUAAUAAUAAUCUUGAGCUUUCUUUAAAGGCAGCAUUAUAGUUGAGAAUGUGGCAGCAGAUAUACUAUUACAAUCUGUGCUUAUAGAGUUUCAAUGCACUCAAUUUCAAUCUUGGCAUCCAAUGGCAAUGUAGCCACUUCUUAAAUUGAACCGUUGGAAAAGCAGCUAAAUAAAAUUGUUGAAGUAAUUAUAGGCAUUAAUUAUGAGUGAAAAUUAAAUAAUACCAACUCAAGGGGAAAAUCUUAUGAUUUUCAGCAUAGUACUCGUAGUUUCUCUAGCAUUAAUCACCCUAAUUAUAUAUUAAAUAUGACAAGUUGACAAAAUAACCGAUUAUGUAUGACAAGAUGAAUCUUUAAGAGUUAAACCAUAAUAAAGCAUGAAGGUUUUUAAUCUAACAGCUGCUCACUCUUCUUCCAUGGUACGUGUAUGUUACCUACAAGCUAACACAUUUCUCAGCCCACAAAUGUAACAGGAUAAAUUUUUACAGCACAGAAUAAACUAUGCCAUAAGUGAAAUUCAUUAGUAAACACACUACCCACUCUUUUAAAUGCACUCUUUACUAUUAGUUGAAAUCAGUUAGAAAUUGCUAAGUCUAUUCCCAGAGGAUCAUAUGUCAGUGGUGAAACAAUCAAAAUGCUAAUUCCUAAACACACAUAAAACUCGAAUCCCAAUUUCCUAGACACCCAUGCUCAGGGCAAAUCUGUCAAGUCUAAACUCUAUUACAUACUUACGUAGAAUACAAAGUAUAAAGAUUUAUGAGUAUGAGUUAAGUAUACAACAUCAAAGAGAACCAACCAGACUUUCCAAUAUUUCCAAAUUUGAAAUGCAACUCUAGGAUUGUGUGGUAGCCUACUUAUUAAUUAUGCUACAAUAUCCUAGUAAAAACUUAAAACGCUAAAGUUUCAGAAUUUCGGUGCUGAAUCACAUGCUUUUGCUUUAUAUAUUGCAGCAGCAAAUUAGAGUACAAAAAAACCAAUGACAAUGACAAAGGUUUAUAUGUAGGUCCGUGUAGCACAGGUUUUGGUUCGCAUACCUUGAGUGAAAAACCGCACACAGUUUUUGAUGGUACACAAAACCUAACAGUAGUAAAAGCUAAAUAAAUUACCAAGAAAUCUAAAAUCAAGUAAUAAAGACAAAAUGAUUUUACAUACAAAGAGAAUGGAGUGAGAGAAAGGUUCACAAACAAUGGCAGAACCAGACCGCAAGAGGAAAACUCAAAAAGGAGAAAGAGCCAGGCAGAGACAAACAAUUACGAGAGCGAGAGAGACGACUCCAGCGAUGGCAAUGUGAUGGGUAGGGUUUAUGAAAGGCAGGGCAAUAAUGGCGAGGGUCAAGGAAUAGAGCUUCGUGAGGGCAACAGUGGUGAAGUCACGGAUACAAACCCUACAUUGUCCCCAUAACCCUAAUGCGCAGAUACAAACAAUUAAAUAUUAUAUUACAAUUUUUAAACCCUACCGCGUAAAACAAAAUCACUAUAUCCUAACACUAACUAAAAUUUAUUUAAAAAAAACACUUUAAAAACAGGAGAAGUCUUUUAGGGUAACAUCUUCUAGGUGAAGCAGAUCAGGGUAGUUUCACCAAGUCAAAAAAGCACUUUAAACAAAAGAAAGUUUUCAGGGUAGCACCUCCUAUGUGAAGCAGACCAGGAUGACACCUCCUCUUGUACUGACAUCCACCUAAACAAAUGACAGAGAUCAGGGUGGCAUCAUUAUAGGAGGAGGCUUACUGAUGCUUCUCAUUAUCAACCUGAUAAAAAAAUAUUCAUCUUGAUAAAUAAUUUGUUUACCAACUCAUAUAGGUAAAUAGCUUUUAUUUUUCACCCAUAUUGAUAAAAAAAGUUGACAAAUGACAUUAAUUUCAAAAUCAGGGAUAAAAAUCUGGGACAAAAUCAUUUGGUACCUACAUUUUUCAGUGGUAAAAAUCUGGGACAAAAGACAAAAUGGGAAAAAAUCUACGUACACAAAUUGCAUUUGGCCUCCUCUAAGCUUAUGAGUGUAAAACUCUUUUUUAAUUAAUAUUCCAAGAGGCUCAUUUCUUUUAAAUGCAUGUCAUAUAAUUUGCCAAGAAAGAAAAAAUGGCAUAAAAAAAUUAACAUAUGCCAAAGCUUAAACAAAUAGACUAUGUGAUUAAAAGGAACCGGUGAUAUAUAAUUGCUUUGAAAUCCCUGUGAAAGCUUCACUGUUAGGUUGAUUAGUUGCUCUCACUUAGUUGACAUAAUUUAAAGAAAACAAAAUCAAUUUCAAGGUUUAUGAAUUUCAGUUUCACCACAAUCAAACCGUAUAACAAAAAUCUAAUGAGACAAUAAUAUUUUAAAGAAGAAAAAAUGCAUGUUAUUACCACUCAUAAUGGAUGUAGUAGUCCUUACUAGAAACUAAAAUUAAUGUGAUAUAGUAACAAAAAAUAUCAGUUUUAAUUAAAACUAAUGUUGUAAGUACUAUAAAAUAUUGAUUUUGUUAAAACUGAUGUUGUAUAGUGCAUACAUCAUUAGUUUUGACAGAACUAAUAUUUUAUAUUACUUACAACAUUGAUUUUUGAUAAAAUGGAUGUUGUUUUUGUUAUUAUACCACAUUAAUUUUGAUCAAAAUUGAUAUUGUACAAUAUUAUUUUUGAUAUAACCGAUGUUGAUUUUACAAAAAAAUAUAUAUUUUAUUUAUUUGUUAAAUAAAAUCAAACCUGUAAAUUAAAAGCAAAACCAAUCUAACCAUAUUUUAUAUAUAUAUAUAUAUAUAUAUAUAUAUAUAUAUAUAUAUAUAUAAUAAAAAAAUACUUAAAGGAUAUCAAACAAUGAUCUCAAUACAUAAAUAUCUUCCAUAAGCUAUGUCAAACAAUGAUUUUUGGACCUCUAGUAAAGUACACUUAAAAAAAUUCCUCUUUUUUUUACUACAUUAAAAAUGCUUCAAAACAUACCAUCGAAGUUAAUAAAAGAUAAAUAUAACUCAGAAUAUAAUUCCAAAUAUAAAACAUUUUAUUUUCUUUUUUUUACUACAUUCUUUUUUUUUAGUUCAUGAAUCUUAUCAAACACGUAUAGUGUUUCUCUCUGUAAUGAAAGAGACAAAUAUAACUCCAAAUAUAACUCAGAAUAGAGUUAAGAUAAAAGAUGACUUGUGAGACUUACUUCAUGAGUAUCCCUUUAGAGACAGCUUCAAAUAUAACUCCAGUAUAAUAGUCAAGACCUCGGGUCAGACAUAAGUCAAAAACCACGUUAUCAAGCCGUUUUGAUUUAUCCAUAAGUUUAAAUAAAAUUUAUAGGUCAUUCAAUGCAUCAACGGGUCCAUCAUCUUUUAAGAAAGCACUGCCUUCUCUAAAUUUAGACAACAAUGCUAGAGGAGGUCCUUUUUCUUUGAUAUAAGUUUCAAUUUUGUCAGCAAUCUCAGCAAUUAAUCCUUUCUCUUCCACCUACUGCAUGACAGUACAAAAACACAUCAUUAAACAUAACAUAUAUAUCAUGAUUACAAGACAACAACUUUCCGAUAUUACAGUAAUAGGGAAUAUUAUUGUCUCAAAUUUUAAUUGGUCAUUCACAUAGAAAGAAACAAAAUCAUAAGUCUCAAAGACCUAAGGCAAUGAAUGUAGUGGAAUAUGCUUGAACAGUUUUACGAAUAUUUAAAUCAUGAAAUGCAAUUUCUUUUUUAUUUUAUUAAACAAUGUCUAAGUUUUGAAGCACCAAGUCUAAUCUAAUGUUAUUAAAUAAAAUAAUCCUUUGCAUUGAAGCACCAGAUCUUACCUCAUACAAACAAAUGAAUUAUAAGAAAGAAAGUCACAAUGGUGUCCUAGAAACCAUUAGAAUGAUAUGAAGAGUUCCUCAUUCUAACAGCAAGAGCCCAACAAAUAAUUUAAAGGCAAUAAUUACAGAGAACUUCACAAAAAUAUAAAUGUACAAACAUCUUGCUUGGAUGCCAAUAAAUGAUAAAACACAACUUACACUAGUUUCUACAGUACAUAGAACAUUUUGCAGCCUCAGAUAACUGCAUCAAGACAAAUGAUAUAAGGUGCAGAAUAAUUGUUCAAGAUAAAAUGCAGAAAUAUAUAACAUAUUUACUAGCAUGGUUAUAGUCAUCACUCAACACAUUGUUACUAUAGACCAAAGACAACAUUAAACUUUGAACUAAUGAAAACAGUGGUAAAAAAUAGUUCAUUUGGUCAUCUAGGCAGGGCAGAAAACAGACACACUGCCUCAGAAAACCUGAGGGAAGUAAGCCUGAUGAUGUGCCUAAUGGGACCAGAUCCUGUAAUUUCAGAUAACAUGCCAAUUUACUUUGGCUUAUUAUACUCAGUAGCCAAUGGUAUCUAAUAUAAAGGAGUAUUCUACUUUACUAACACCAUCUGAACUUAAAAUUACCUAGCAAUCCAAGAAAAUGCCCUAAAAAUAGAAUUUGAAUUUAUCAGUUGUGUGCGACUUGCAAUCCAGAAGUCAAAGCUCCCUUUAUCUUGUAAUUUCCAAGAUCUUUAUUCCUAGCCACAUCUAUUUUGGACUAAAACUACUGAUUUUCCUAGCCACAAUAUUCAUAAAUAUACCAAAAGUCAAAAAUCAUUGUGAUUAGUGGCAAUCCCUACAACAUUUUCUUGUGCAUGAUAUAUGCUUAACCAAAGCACUGGCUCUGGCAAAUAUUAGUUAGUUGAAAUUCAUGUAACAUAAAUUUAUGAAAAUAAUCAUUAGAAAAAAAAAUAAAAGAAUAGAAAAAAAAACCGUCUCUAGAUCUGCCUUUGCUUGUUCACGAUCACAGUACUCGGCCCAUUCUCAUACGCAUAUGCAUUGUUUUUUUUUUCCAUAUAAGAGGCAACCUUAUAAGGUUAAUUGUAGUCUAUACUUAGCACUAGCUACUUUGCCACCAACAUUUCCAGUAGUUUUGCUAAGCUCAUGACCACCUACACAUGAUAAGGAAGAAAAAUAACAUGCAAUAACCUGAAAAUGUUAUGUCCUAGUAUUCGAGAACUAGGAAGAACUCCAGAAGAGGGAUUAGAGGAGAGGAAAUUUCUGUUUUAUUGCUUGCAUUUCAUUACAAUGACUAUCAUAUUUAUAAGCACUGAAAUGCUAAUUCUGUUAUUGCAUUUCCUCUACAGGUCCUAAGGUGCACAAAAAGCAAAAUAACAGAAUUAAUGGUAGUGAAGCAUGAUUCCUAGCCAGCAACAGGAUCUCCUUCGACCAAUGAGAGGCUGCCAGCUCAGCGUUUGUUGUUGGCACUGGUCACGUAGUCCUCCAGGUAGUGUGGCUUGCAUAUUCUCCUUUUGUUUCUUGUCUGCUCCUAAUUCCCCUGUGUUGGUUUGCCCUGUGCUGAGUUGAUUUAUAACAUAAAAACAAUAAAAAGUUCUUUAUCUCGCAAUAAACACCUGAAAUAUAGAAAGGCAUAGACAAAGAUUCAGUCAUAUCAUCACAACAUGGACCGUAAAUUUUGUUUGGGAUAAGCUACUACCUGGAGGAAGAUGCCAGAUUGAACAAAUGAUUCAUCAAAUUCUUGGCUUCAAGAACGGAAUGCACUUGGUUCCAACGUCCCUUGCCACUGAAAACCCGUUCCGGCUCUUCUGCCUUUGGUAAAUGAGAUGCCAUUGACAGCAAUGUUGUAGAAGAAGUAGCAAUGAUUUUUUCAAGGGCAAAUAUCCUUGAAUUUCCUGCACCCAAAGACAUUGAUGCGAGGCCAGCACUAGAUUAGCAAUUAGGCAAGAAGAUGUUGUCAAUUAUAUAUUUCCAAAUACAAGGUUAUAAUUGAAUCUAAAGAAGAAAAAUUGUCCGUCAUGACUCUAAAGGGAAAGAAAAACAAAACACAGCUUUCUGCUUCAAACUGAGUAUUAGAAGUUCCAUUAGUAGGAUCGUUUCACCUUAUGAGAUUUAAUUCUCUGGAUCUCAUCCUGUAGUCGUUUUGCAGCCUCGUCACUUUUGGUUUUGUCUCAAUAGUUGAGACUAAGAUUCUUGUUUCUAAAGAUGUGUUAUCAAUCAAGAAAACAAAAAUAAUAUUUGCAUUUCAAUUUUUUUUAUCAUGUUCAUACUUAUAGAAAAAAUAGAAAAAAAGCAUAUUUUUUAUCUUACCAUGUAAAAUUAUAAAAUAAUGAAUAUUUUUUAUCGUAUAAAUAUAUCGUUACUAAAUAUAUACAAUAUAUAUUUUAUUUUAUAUUAAAAAAUCUUUCACUUUUCACAUGACACAUACUUAUAUAUAUUCCAUAAGAAUCAAAGACAAAUACUUAAAAUUUAUAAUAACUCAUACAAUAUAUUCAAUCAACUGAAUUAUACUCACUGAUAUAGUUACACAUAUACAUACACAAAUGUUAAAUUCAGAAUUUAAUUAAUUAAAAUUUCUCUAAUAUAUUUCCAUUGUUAAAGAAAAAGUGUUUUGUAUAAGAGUAAUAUAUCAACAAACUUAUAGAUUCCUACCAUAAGCAUAUAACGAAAUAAGAAUCAUACUGUCAUUAAUGGUGUAUUAGUGAAUCACAACGUUUAAAAACCUUAUUCAUGACUACACACAAAAGACGGGAGUUAAGUAGUCAUCUGUUUACACAUUAAGAGAGACAUACUCAUCCAAGGUAAUUAAACAGUAGAAUAAAAUAAAGUAAAAUAACAUGUUAAGAACAUCAUGCAAUUAAAAUAGAAACUCAUGCCCUCAAUGUCAUGUCUUAUUAGAGCAUUGUGUCUUGACGUCCUCCUGCACAAGUGUUAGACAAGUGGCCUCAGAUAUCUUAAGACAUACUCAUGCCCUCAAAGUCUCUUUGCUUCUACAACAAGAUUUCUUAAGGCAAUCCACUUAGUCAUCUUCUCUUACGAACACAAAGUUCAAGAUCAUCACAUGAUACAAAUAGAAACAACACACAGGAAAUGAGUUAUCACAUUCUUAAACAUGUAGAGAUAAAUGAAAAUACAUAUAUGCAUAUAAUAUAAGUAUAAGAAGCUCAACUUAACACAACUUGCAUCAUUUUAUCACUCAUUAUAUAAUGUCACUUGUCCCCCAAGGAUUUAAUCACAAAUCACAUUUCACACUUUCACAUUAAUCACAUGUUUAGAAUGACACAUCUCUAGUACAAUACAAUAUCUCAAACUCACACAAUUCAUUACCCACCAUUACGUAAGAAGUCAAAAUAAUCAUUACAUAAGCAUUAUGUAACAGAUACACUAAGACUUAAUCAUAUAUGCAAUGUGGUACCAUAUCAGUGAAAAACAACAGCAAGGUGCCUAGAAGUACAUAACAAGAGACACCACACAAUGAGUAUGUCAAGUAACUCUCACUAAGUGAAAUCAUAAGAUGACCAGUCAAGGUCCCUCUGUUUUGUGAGAAUGCUCCAAUGAUAUAGGAUUAAUAUAGGCUUAAAGAAGCACUCAAAUCGAGUGUAUUUACCUCCAAGGUUUAGACUCCGAAGAAUUCAUUAGGGUCUUACCUUUCAAAUUCAGGUCCAACCCCUAAAAUAAUUUUUGCAUGCAAAUACUACUCGUGAAUUAUGCAAUACCCACAGCCUCACACUUAUUUUCAAAACACAUUUAACACAAUGCAUUACAAUUUAACUCCUCAAGUUCUUAACUUGGAACCGUACACUCUUCCUUUAACACCUCACGCAUUGCACUACAAUUUAACAUCUCAAGUUCCUAACUUGAAAUCCCUAUACUUUCCUUUUAACACCCUUCACAUUGUGCUACAAUUUAACAUAUCAAGUUCCUAACCUGGAACACUACACUUUUCUUUUAAAACCUUGUGCAUAAAUAUUUUUCUCAAGGUAAACACCAAUUAGGUGAUUGUAUAAUCCACAACUCAAAACACAACUAAUAUCACAUUAAGUAUUAAACACACACUUAUUCACAAGCUAAUAGACCAAUUAUGUUAUAAAAUAAUUAAUGUCGCUAUAUAUAACACUAAAAUUUAUAAUGUAUAUUUAAUGCAUAUAUAAAUUUAAAUGAUAAAUUUAGUGACAAUUAAAUUUGAUUUAAUAAUUAAUUUUUUUACAUAUAUGAAUUAUUGUAAAUAAAAUCUAUGAUUUUUAUUUAAAAUUUAUAUAUAUAUAUAUAUAUAUAUAUAUAUAUAUAUAUAUAUAUACACACACACACACACACACAUACACAUUAGUAUAUUUAUGUUAAUAAUGUAUUUCUUACAUAUAUAAAAUUUUAUUAAACCUACGGUUUUUAUUUACAAUUUAUAUAUGUAAAUAAAUUAAUUAUUAGAUCAAAAUUAAUUAUCACAAAAUUUUUUAUGUAACUUUACAUGUGCAUUAAAUAUAUAUUAAAUUUUUUAGUGUUAUAUAUAACGACAUUAAUUAUUUUAUAACAUAAUUAACUUAUUAGCUCAGUUGGUUAGAGUGUCGUGCUAAUAAUGUGAAAAUCACAGAUUCAAUUUCUGCUUAGACAAUUAAUUUUAAAUUAAUUCGUAAAAUAUAUUUUUUAAAAAAUUAAUAAAAAAAAUUGUAUGAACCACUUACGGAUUGGACAAUCCAUAAGCCAAUUACGAAUCUGUAAUUGAUUUAUGAAUUGUGAAUCCGUAAACCAAUUACGGAUGUACCAGAAAAACAAAUGGUGCGCAUAGCAAAUCCGAAAUCAAUAAUGUUUUGUGUUGAACUUUUAUGGACUUUCUUAUAUUUAGGGUUUUUUAAUUGUAAUCCAUAGCCCUAGUAUAUCAACACACUUUCGUAUGAACUAGGGUUAUCAGAAAUUAAAUGUAGAAGCAGUUUUCUUUAAGCUUUCCUUUAUCGUCCCCUUGCAAUUUAUCUUUCUUAGUCUAGUUAGCAGCAGAGUCUAUCAAUCUAAAUGUGAAAUGCUAUUCAGUUAUCUAAGACUGGACCACUUUAGAAGAUAAGAACGAAACAUCGUAGUUCUAAAAAUGCAUUAUUAUGGCGUCAUAUGUAAAGGUGAUUCUCACAAAAUGUUUCUCAUGUUGGUGUUGGUCAGCAUAACACAUUUUAUCUUUAAGCUUUCCUUUUUCGUCUCCUUGCAAUUUAGCUUUCUUAGUCAUGCUAGUAGCAAAGUCUAUCAAUCUAAAUGUGAAAUGCUAUUCAGUUAUCUAAGACUGGACCACUUUUAGAAGAUAAGAACGAAACAUCAUAGUUCUAAAAAUGCAUUAUUAUGGCGUCAUAUGUAAAGGUGAUUCUCACAAAAUGUUUCUCAUGCUGGUGUUGGUCAGCAUAACACAUUUUUCUUCUAGAACACAUGAUAUCUAGGCAAUUCUAUCAUGAGCAUAAUGCUUUACGUAAAACAGCCAAUCAAAAACUCAAGAUAAAAUUGAAAUAAUUUCAGUUCAAGCUUCCUUCUAAAUAGUCAUGCAUUUUCCUUUUCUUUGCUGACUUGUCGUUAAUUUUUAAUUAAUUGAAGGAAAGGGAACAAUUGAUUUGAAUUAUUAUAUUUUCUGAAACAAAAAAUAACACUAUAUUUGUUUCCUUUAUUUUGAUAGGAAAAAAAUAAGGCUUACAAAUGUUAUCAUUAAUUUGGUUAAGGUAUCCAAAGUUCAGAAACCCAAAAAACUAAAAUAAAAUGACCUACAAUAUAAAAAAAAAAGAUACAAUACAAAAAUAGAAAAGAACAAUUAAAACUCAAGCAUGUUUAUUAAGCUCAAUCUUUCAGCUAUAUAUAAGUGACAAUGUAGGGCUAAUCCAUUGAAGAUGAGCUUGACAUUACCAGCUCAUUGGCAACCUGCUCCAUGGUAGGGCGAGAUCGUGGACUUUCAGUCAAGCAGGCCAUUGCUAUCUUUGCAAUUGAUGCCACUUCCUUACCAAUUGGCUUUGUUGGAUGAGGGAGACGUUGGUCCAACUUAUCCAUCAAUGCCAUGUGAUCGAGUCUUGAGGCCACAAGAGUAGAUGGAGAUGAUCCCAAUAAAGAAGAUAUAACAUCACCAGGGUGCUUCCCAAUAAGUAUUUCCCUUGCUAGGACCCCAAAACUAUACACGUCACAUUUCUCAUUCACCUCCAUUGUGUAUGCAAGUUCUGCAACAAAAUAAAAGUGCUAUCAUACGCAAAAUAGGAUUCUAGUGACAAAGGCAAAAUGUGGACAAUUGUGACUAAGAAAGGCAAACUAAAAAAUAUGAUAUGCUCAAUUUAGUAUAAAGAAAGGUAAUUAACCUGGAGCAGCAUAUCCAAAGGUUCCUACGAAUGAGGUCCAAUUGGAUGAAUCUGGAUUAAGAAACUUGGCUGUUCCAAAGUCUGAGACAUGAGCUACAUAUUCGGAAUCCAAAAGAACAUUCUUGCUUGAUAUAUCACGAUGAACAAUUCGAGGUGAACAUUCAUGGUGCAUAUAGCACAGAGCAUUUGCUACAUCUUUAACAACAUUCACCCUCUUAUACCAAUCAAAUGCCAUUGCUUGUCCAUCAUCCUUCAGAGUCUUCUCAACACUGCCAUUAUCCAGGAAUUCACACACCAAAAAUGAGAAUUGUGAAUGUGAACAAAACCCAUAUAACUUUACAAUGUUACGAUGUCGAAUUUCUGUCAAAGCUUGGAUCUCACAUGUGAAAGCUUUCAGAUUGAGCAUCUUUCCAUUUGGAACUGAAUGGAGUUUCUUCACGGCAACAACUUGACCUGUAGGAAGCACUGCUUUGUAAACACAUCCUUGCCCUCCAACACCAAUGAGAUGUUUGUCGUCAAAAUCUUCUGUGGCUUCAAUAAUAUUCUCGAAUACCAUUUUGCCAUCAAAACUCCAUAUUGCAAAUAUGUUAGGAGUUUGUAUACUUGUAGCCUGGUCUUCUUUGUUCGUUGAGGUUUGGCAUAAAUGAUACGAGACUCCGAAAGCAAAUAAUGCCAGUAUUAGAAUGCCCAAAGUAAGAGGUAAUAUUACUAUCAUUACAUUCUUCCUCAUAUGAUUAUGAGAUUUCCCACUUGAUGUUGAGCAACGCUCCAAGCCAGUGACAUUGCCACACAAGCCUUUAUUAUUUCUCAAUGCUUCAAUUUUAGCGUUGUGGAAGGCUAGAAUGUUUGGAAGUGGACCCUCAAACUGGUUGUAUGAUAUAUCAAUAGAUGUCAAGCUCGUCAUAUCAUCGAAGCUAGAGAGAUUACCUGAAAGAUUAUUGUGAGAGAGAUUCAGUGUUUCUAAGCUUUUUAAUUCUCCAAACAUUGAAGGUAUUGUUCCUCUCAAUGAAUUUCCACCAAGAUCAAGACUCGUAAGAAAUUUCAGUUUGCCAAGCUCUGAAGGAAUAUUUCCCUGAAAAUUAUUUUGGCUCAGACUCAUGUUCAAUAAAUUGAGCAAAUUUCCUAGUUGUUUUGGGAUUAAGCCAGACAACUUAUUUGAUCCAAGCUUCAAAAUUUGAAGUUUCUGCAUUGAUGCUAUUUCUUUGGGAACAUUUCCUGUAAGAUUAUUGUUGUCGAGUGAGAGAUCAAACAAGGGCAAGUUACAUAAAUCAUGUGGAAUGUUUCCUGUAAGAUGGUUUGAGGACAGGUGAAGUUGUUGUAAUUUGGUUGCCCCAGCUAGUUCUGGUGGUAUCACACCUGAUAAAUUAUUGUUGGAGAUCUUGAGGCUUGUGAGGCUACGAAACUUUCCCCAGUUAGGUGAAAGUUGACCAUAAAAGUUAUUGUCACUCAAUUCGAUGUAGUCCAAAUUUGGAAGUACACCAAAAGCAUCUGUUAUAUCCCCAGUUAGCUGGUUUCUCUGAAGCCUGACUCUUAUAAGGCUGGAGCAAUUCUUCAAACUCACUGGAAUUGGGCCUAUGAAGUUGUUAUUUUCAGCAGAAAUUUUUUUGAACGUUCCACCAAUGCAAAUGUUUUGAGGUAAAUGGCCUAUAAAAUCAUUGUCAGCUAGCUGCAAACUUUCCAGAGCAGUAAGCAUGCUCAUUUCUAUUGGAAUCUUGCCACCAAGUUCAUUUCCAAUAAAUACUAAUUCCCUGACAUUUGACAAAUUUCCAAUGGUGAAAGGAAUGGACCCAGAGAGUUUAUUAUAGGAUAUAGAUAAUGUACUAAGCUUUGACAAAUUUCCAAUGGUGAAAGGAAUGGACCCAGAGAGUUUAUUUACAUUAAGGAGCAUGGAGUCCAAAUUCACCAAGUUGCCUAUGGAAGCUGGGAUUGGUCCAGUGAGUUCAUUAGAGUGUAUAAAUAAUUCACUAAGCUUUGACAAAUUUCCAAUGGUGAAAGGAAUGGACCCAGAGAGUUCAUUUCCAUCAAGGAACAAGGAGUCCAAAUGGACCAAAUUGCCUAUGGAAGCUGGGAUUGCUCCAGAGAGGCUGUUGCCCGACAGUUGGAUAGUGGAAAGUGAAUGGAGAUUUCCCACUCCAUCAGGAAUAGAACCAUAUAAACUGUUUUUAUAAAGGUAAAGAUAAUAUAAAUUGCUCAAGUUUCCAAUUGUAGAGGGGAUUUCACCAGAGAGAAAGUUAUCAGACAAAUCAAGUUGACCAAGUUGUUUCAAAAAACCAAUUUCAGGAGGAAUGAAGCCAGAAAGAUUAUUCCUUCCGAGAUAUAGAAUUUGGAGGUUAACCAACUUCCCAAUUUCAUGAGGAAUGUGACCAAAAAGUUGGUUUUCGUGUAAACUUAGAAGUGUUAGAUUGACCAGUGCUCCAAUUGAAAUAGGAAUUGACCCAAUAAGAUUACACAUGCUUAUGUCAAGUUUUUCUAAAUUACGCAACGUCCAAAUUUCUUCGGGCAUGGAGCCAGAAAGGCCACUUUUCGACAUACGAAAAAUCUUUAGAUUCCUUAACUUCCCAAUAUCACGAGGAAUAGACCCGCUGAAACUGGAUUGGCUCAUGUCAAGCCAUGUUAGAUUCCUCAGCAUCCAAAUUUCUUUGGGAAUGGAGCCAGAAAGCCCACUUUUCCAAAGCCGGAGAGUCUCGAUGCUCCUCAAAUUCACAAUUUCUUUGGGGAUGGAACCGUUGAAGUUAUUAUCAGCAAAUGACAAAUGCUUUAGGUUCAUAUGCCAAAUUCUUAGUGGAAUGUUGCCAGAAAGGUCGUUGCUUUCGACAUCUAGAUGAGACAAAUUGCAUAACUUUUCUAUUGAGAUUGGGAUAGUCCCUGAGAUAUUGGACCGAGGAAUAUCAAGUAUUCUCAGAUUCAUCAAUCUACCUAUUUCUUGAGGAAGGGAUCCAGUGAAAUUAUUAUCACCUAUGCGCAAUGUAUGAAGACCAACCAAGUGUACUAUUUCAGAAGGAAUAGUACCAGAGAGAUCAUUGUCAGAAAGAUUAAGAAACAAGAGUUUGGAGAGAUUACCAAUGGUAUUGGGAAUGCUACCAAAGAGGUUAUUAGUGGACAAGUCAAGAGUGUUGAGAUUGGAUAAGGAACCAAUUUGAGGAGGAAUAGUUCCAUUCAAGGAAUUGUGACUCAUAUUUAGAGUGAGAAUGUUUGGAAGUAAUGAGAAGUUGAGACUUUGAAGCGUACCUCUUAAUCCAACAUAUGUAAGACUGAUGUUGGAAACAGAAUUGAACUCAUCACAUGCAAUUCCGAGCCAAAUGCAAGGAUUGUUGCCACUCCAUGAAGAGAGAGAAGCAUGACUUUGGUUGUCAAGGCUGGAUUUCCACUUCAACAAAGCAUUUGCUUCUGAAGCAAUCUCAGAAGAAGCAGCAAAUGCACAGAAGUACAUCACAAGAAGCAGCAAAAGUGGUUGGAGCUUCAUGGACAGAAGCGUUGGAAAUAUGAACACCAUGAGGAAAUUUUGAGGAAGGAUUCAAUCACAGAUUGUCUGAUACAAUCAAAUGUAAGAGAAGUACUUACAAGCAAUUCAUGGGAUAUGCAUACUUAUAUGCAAAACAUCAUGAAACACGAACCAGAGUCAAGAAAUAUUGUACUUUUCUUUCGUUGAAGUCUAGAGAUAUUUUACUGUAUCUACAUAAAUAUAUGUUACAGCUUGGUUCAAAAGGUUCAAGAUAGAAAAGUUUUACACCUUUAAUCUCCAACCUUUUGCAACUGUGCUUUCGAAGCUAUCCUUUUUAUUUUAAGCUUUUGACGUUUUUUAAAACAUAAUUCAAUAAUUAUAAUUUUUUAUAAAACAUUUAUUUUGAGUUAAAAAUAAACCCGUGUUUUUUGGUAUAGAUUUUUUUGUCUAACUAUAGAUAUUGUUUGAUGAAAGUUAUGUUGUUCAACUCAAAUACCAUAAUUAUGAAUAAUCUGAAGUCAAACUUGAAACUACUACUUAAGCUUGAACAACUCACAUUAAUUGAUUCACAUAUUCACUCACUAUUUUUUUUUGGUACUAUGAACAUUAAAUUAUCAUGAUAAUUUUUUUACUAAAAAGUUGAACAUCUGACAUCAAUUAAAAAUAUAAUCAAAAUAUAAUAUAUAACUGAAAAAUAAUCAUAAUCUUAUAAGUUGGCUUUAUAAGAUUAAGUUAGACUUAUAUUCAAAUUGUAAGAGUAAAUUAGAAUUUUUGUCCAUUAUCUAUAUUUUAGGUUUUAAUUUAAUUAGUCCAUUAAAUUUAAUUUUUUUUUACUUUAGUUAGACUAUUAAAAUUUCUCUUUGUUAAACAAGUUUGGUGACAUGAAUAAAUUGUAAGAGAUAUCAUAUGGGCUAAAAUUGACAUUGUUAGUGUAAAAAACAAAUUUGGUCUAACCCAUGUGAUAGACUAAAAGGAAACUUUUGAAAAAAAAAAUAUUAAUUUGUUGCAGUCCCUUACACAUUUUAAUUAUAUUAAAUCAUUUAAAUGUUAUAAUAUUGAAAACUAAUUAGGAUGAAGACUGAAGAGAUGCGAUAAAUUCAUAAUAUGGAAGUAAUUAAAGUGAGAAAGAAAAUAUCAAACAAGACAGCCGAUCAGUGGGGUCAAUAGAAGUCUAGCUUGGUAUGUUGCACGCGUUUACUUUACAAAACUACAAAACUGUCAAUGCAAGUCUUGACAGAACAAAGGGAAAGAUAAAAAAAAAGGACAAAACAAAGGAAGACUACGAACACGGAUAUAAGAAAACCCAAGCAUGUGCACUGCAUCCAGGACCAGCCCUAAUAAGUAAUAACCCUUAGGGAGGGUUACAUGAUCACGAUUUGAUUUGACAUGCUUCUAGAUUAACGACUCAAAUGAAAAAUAUUAAAUUUCCUUCCUUAUUUUUAAUAUAUAUAUAUAUAUAUAUAUAUAUAUAUAUAUAUAUAUAUAUAUAUAUAUAUAUGAAUGAAUGAAUUUAUUAUUCAAUAAAAGAAUGAAAAGCGUCAUUAAAACCCUAAAUUUUAUAGAAAUUAAUGUAAAAUAGAAAACACGUUAGAGUAAAAUAUCCUUUUUUACUUCAUUCACGCUCUAUCAUCCUAUUUAGUUAAGGUACUAAAAGGCAAGGGUUGAAAUUAAUAUAUAAUUUAAUUAAUUUAUUAAAACGACUCAUACAAAAAAUUUUGAUGUUCUAUCAUUGCAUUAGAUUUUACUAAAAGCCAAUUUAGUCUUCUUAAUUUUUUUGUUAUCAUUAUCAAUUAAGUAUUAAAAUAUUUAUUAAUAGCAAUAUUACUAGAAUAAAUUACACUUUCCUCUCUUAAAAAAUACGAAUAUCACACUAUCAUCUCCUCUUAUAUUAAAAAUUUUACUCUCUUUACCUAACAAAUUUGAAUACAUGACACUUUAUUUCUUUUUAAUUUUGUGUUAAAAUUCUGUUUGUUUCCAUUAAAAUAAACUACAUUAUUAAAAUAUUAUUUACAAUACCACCUCCUCAAAGAUGCAAAUAUUUCACUGCACUCCCUUCUUGUGUUAAAAUACAUACUUCAUCCCUUAACUAAUGAGCGCGCGUGUGUGUAUAUAUAUAUAUAUAUAUAUAUAUAUAUAUAUUAUUUUUUUGGAUAUUUCGUUUUAAAAUGUUUGAUAAUUAAUUUUUUUAAACAAUUAUAAAAUUUUAAUGAGUGUAUGCACACACUUACACACAUUUAUUUGUUUAUGUUAGUACUGAAUUUUGUUAUAAUUAAAUUUUAUUUAAUAAUAGAUUUUUACAUGAAUAUAUUCAGGUGAAAAGUUAUAAGUUACAUUUAUUAAAAUUAGUAAAUAUAGUAUUUAAAUUUAAUAAUAGAGGAUAUUAUGAAAAUUAAUUAUAAAUUAGUUUUUAUGACAAAUUUUUAACCAUUGCUGAAGUACUAGAUUUCCACCCUUAAUUACAGUACACGCGUAUAAAUUAGUUCAAAAUACUCCAAUUGAAAAUUUGAGUUAUAACAUUUCAUUUCCAAAUUAACAUAAUAUUGUUUGCAUAAUUAAGUCACUUUAUUAGCUUAUUUGUUUCGUGUUUUUAGUUUUACACCAGGCUCUAUUAAAUGUUUGUAACCUAAAAAAUUAUCUAUUUAAAGUGAGUUUUUUUUGGUGUGUAUGAAACCCAAGUUAGAAUUCUAAACAGAAAAAAUUAUUCCCUACUAUAACGCUAACGCUGUAUGAUUUGGUUUUAGCCUAGAGCGUUUGGAACGGGGGAAAAUGAUGUUGGCAUUUGAUGAGAGAAUUAUUGUGUUGAAUGAUGUACGUACAUGUAUAUAUCAUUCGCACUGCGUCAGGAUGCCCUUCGAAGCACGUAUUAUUAAUUUCUGCCUCCAAUCUAUUCAAAUUACGUAAAAGCUUUGAUCUAACUUGCAUCCAUCUUGCGUGAUGAACAAUCAAAGACGUACUAGCAAGUCUUACAACCUAUAUCAUACUUUUGUGACAUAAUAUAUUAAUUACUCUAUAAAAUAUAUUAAGACAGUUCCUAUUGAAAAUACAAAGUGUGUGAGGAGUAAAUCAUUAUUUUGUUAAAUAUUUAUUUUUGUAAAUCAUUAUCAUCAUCAUCGACUUAGUCUUGCUUGUGUAGUGACACUUUUAAUUUCAACAUGAAAGGGACAGUAUGAAUGUAACGUCUUGCAAGUCCACCACGUAUAAUUAUGUUUCGUUAUUAUCCAUUAGACCAUUUUCCAAGCAACUGUACUUAAACAAUAUAAGUACUGUAAUAUAUAUAUAUAUAUAUAUAUAUAUAUAUAUAUAUAUAUAUAUAUAUAUAUAUAUAUAUAUAUAUAUAUAUAUAAAAGUACAGGGGACUUUAAAAUAUUGGGUGAAUAAACAUCAUAGUGUGAAAUAUUUAUUAUUAUUUUAUUUAAAUUAUAUCUAUUAUAAAAAAUAAUUAUGUUUAAAUCAAAUAAAAUUAUCAUGAAUUAUAAAACUCUUUCUUCAAAUAUUAAUUUAAUAUAAAUGUAUACUCAGAAUUCGAGUUCAAGACUAUUAUUGGUUAAACAAGAUUAUACCCAAGCCAAUUAAUUCAAGCCUUGACGAUGGUAUUUAUUAAUUUUACUAAUAAAUUUUCUUAAAAAAUAUGACUGGUCACAUAUGAUGCUUUUACAAAAAAUAAGACAGUAGUGACAUUUUACUAAAGGUUUUAGUUUAGGGAAAAGAGAGUGUAAUUUCCUCUGGAAGAAUAUGAUGAUACCAUUUAUGAAGUCAAUGCAUGUCUUGACGGGUUGUCUUGCAUAAUGCAUACGUUGGUAAAUUGCAAACUUCUUUUGGCAUUUGAAGGGAAAGAUACAAAAAAGGAUCAAACAAAGGAAGACUACGACGCGCAUAUAAGAAAACCCAAGCAUGUCCACUCCAUCCAGGAACAGCCCUAAUAAGUAAUAACCCUUAGGGAGGGUUACAUGAUAACGAUUUGAUUUGAUAUGCUUCUAGACUAACGACUCAAAUGAAAAAUAUUGAAUUUCCUUCUUAUUUUUUAAAAUAUAUAUAAAUGUAUUGUUGGGAAAACUCGGACUUUCCCGCUUCGUGAAGUUAAGAUAAACACUUAGUAAUUAAAGGUAAUAAUGGGAGCACACGAUUAUAAUUCUUCAAUAUGGAAAUUCUUCCACUAUACAAAAUGAUAGUAGGGUUACAAGGAUGUGUUUACAAAAUUGACUCACUCUAUGGUGGCUCACUCAAGCUUGAGAAUAAAGACUUCCCAAACUAUUUAUCUUCUCUCUCAGAGAUGCUUACUCAAGCUUGAGAAUAGAGACUUCCCAAACUAUUUAUCUUCUCUCUCAGAUAGGCUCUCUACUUGGAUCGUUAGGAAUGAAGGCUCCUAUCCUUAUUUAUACUACUCCACCUCCACAAUGAAUGAUGGAGAUUACUUGUAUCCUAGGGUGAAGAUUAAUUCUCUAGAAUGUUCCACAAAUUCUAGGAGUCUCUACACUCUUCUACUCCCUUCCAUAUCCUUCCAUACUUUUUCAUAAGAUCCCAGAAGGUUCCACACAUCUCCAGAAUAUUCUAAAGGUUUCCAUAUUCUUUCACAAGCUUCUAGAGAGUUCUACACUACUCUAGAGUUCUCCAGGACGUUGUAGAAAAUUCUACACUUUUCUAAAAAGCUCUAGAAUUUUCUAAAACCUCUCCAAUUAAGGAGGGAUCCCAACAAAUCUCCCCCUCCCGACUUAAUUGGGGGCUAGUAGCAAACCGGCACCUUGACAGCAAUCUUUAAACUUCUUUGUUGGUAGUACUUUGGUCAUCAUGUCUGACCAGUUCUCAUCUAAGUAAACCUUAUCAAGAUGUACUUUCUUUUCCUCGAGAACAUCUCAGAUCCAAUGAUACCUUACGUCAAGGUGCACAUCCUUGAACAUGUCUCCAUCAUGAGCGAUGUUAUCCUCUAUCUUGAACUGCACGAGCUAGUGACGGCUCCGGAUGAACCUGACUUUUAAUACCACUGUUGGGAAAAACUCGAUGGGAGGAAAUACUGGGGAGAUUCCUGUGGACCACGAGCCACCACAUAAGAAAACCUAGUACCACACUAUAACCCAAAACCUUAAGGCUUAGGUUUAUGAGUCUUCUCUUCACUUAUAUGGUGCUCAGCCUUUCCACUUCUACCCGAUGUAGGACUUCACCUCACACUUGUACUCCAACACAUCUCCCCCUCAAGUGUGAGUCUCUUCCACAUGGUAGCCUCCCCCCUCGAGAGAAAGUCAUCAUCCACGAGUAUAGCCAUUAGAGCCUACAUGCUCUAGCUACCUGCGAUACUUGCAUCGUCGCUCCAUCUGCGGGACACGCUGCCUGGACUCACUGUCAGGAAGACUUUCGAUACAAGGGAUCCCCAAGGCUGAGAUCCAUCACCGCCAUCUUACUCGUCUGAGCUGGUCACCAAGUCGAACAACCUGGCUCUGAUACCACUGUUGGAAAAACUCGGAAUUUCCCGUUUCGUGAAGUUAAGAUAGGCACUUAGUAAUUAAAGGUAGUAAUGGGAGCACACGAUUAUAAUUCUCCAACAUGGAGAUUCUUCCACUAUACAAAAUGAUAGUAGGGUUACAAGGAUGUGUUUACAAAAUUGACUCAAUCUAUGGUGGCUCACUCAAGCUUAAGGAUAGAGACUUCCCAAGCUAUUUAUCUUCUCUCUUAGAGAGGCUUUCAUGCUUGGAUCGUUAGGAAUGAAGGCUCCUACCCUUAUUUAUACUACUCCACCUCCACAAUGAAUAGUGGAGAUUACUUGUAUCCUAGGGUGAAGAUUAAUUCUCUAGAAUGCUCCACACAUUCUAGGAGUUUCUACACUCUUCUACUCCCUUCCAUAUCCUUCCAUACUUUUUCAUAAGAUUCCAGAAGGUUCCACACAUCUCCAGAAUAUUCCAGAGGUUUUCAUAUUCUUCCACAAACUUCUAGAGAGUUCUACACUACUCUAGAAUUCUUCAGGACGUUCUAGAAAAUUCUACACUUUUCUAGAAAGCUCUAGAAUUUUCUAAAACCUCUCCAAUUAAGGAGGGAUCCCAACAUGUAUUUAUUAUUCAAUAAAAGAAUAAAAAACGUCAUUAAAACCCUAAAUUUUAUAGAAAUUAAUGUAAAACAGCAAACACGUUAGAGUAAAAUAUCCUUUUUUACUUCAUUCACGCUCUAUCAUCCUAUUUAGUUAAAGUACUAAAAGGCAAGGGUUGAAAUUAAUAUAUAAUUUAAUUAAUUUAUUAAAACGACUCAUACAAAUUUUUUUAAUGUUCUAUCAUUGCAUGCAUUAGAUUUUACUAAAAGCAAAUUCAGUCUUCUUAAUUUUUUUGUUAACAUUAUUAAUUAAGUAUUAAAAUAUUUAUUAAUAGCAAUAUUACUGGAAUAAAUUACACUUCCCUCUCUUAAAAAAUACGAAUAUCACACUAUCAUCUCCUCUUAUAUUAAAAAUUUUACUCUCUUUACCUAACAAAUUUGAAUACAUUACACUUUAUUUCUUUUUAGUUUUGUGUUAAAAUUCUGUUUGUUUCUUUUAAAAUAAACUAGAUUAUUAAAAUAUUCUUUACACUACCACCUCCUCAAAGGUGCAAAUAUUUCACUGCACUCUCCUCUUGUGUUAAAAUAUAUAUUCAUCUCUUAACUAAUGCGUGCGCACGCGAUAUAUGUAUUUAUAUAUAUAUAUAUAUAUAUAUAUAUAUAUAUAUAUAUAUAUAUAUAUAUAUAUAUAUAUAUAUAUAUAUAUAUAUUUCGUUUUAAAAUGUUUGAUAAUUAAUUUUUUUAAACAAUUAUAAAAUUUUAAUGUCUGUAUACACACACAUUUUAUUAGUUUGUUAGUAGUGAAUUUUAUUAUAAUUAAAUUUUAUUUAAUAAAUGAUUUUUACAUAUAUAUUCAUGUGAAAAGUUAUGCGCGUGUUACAUUUAUCAAAAUUAAUAAAUAUAGUAUUUAGAUUUAAUAAUAGAGGAUAUUAUGAAAAUUAAUCAUAUAUUAUUUUUUCACGACAAAUUUUUUAGCCAUUGCUGAAGUACUAGAUUUCCACCCUUAAUUACAAUGUACGGGUACAAAUGAGUUGAAAAUACUCCAAUUCAAAAUUUGAGUCAUAACAUUUCAUUUCCAAAUUAACAUAAUAUUGUUUGCAUAAUUAAGUCACUUUAUUAGCUUAUUUAUUUUCGUGUUUUUAGUUCUACACCACUCUCUAUUUAAUGUUUGUAACCUAAAAAAUUAUCUAUUUAAAGUGAGUUUUUUUUUUAUCGGCAAUAUUAAUACAAAAUCAAAACCGCGAUUUUUAUCAUGGUUCCUUUCUCUCUUCCCUUCUAUUUAAGGUGGGUAUGCUUAGUAAUUAUAGAACAUAAAACAAACAUACUACUUAUUGGGUUAAAGUUGUUAUUUUUUAUUUGAAAAGAAGAAACAAUUACUAAAAAUAAGUAAUGCAUAUACAUCUUUCAAUUUGACAAACAUUAAAUUAAACUUAAAGUGAAUUACUUAUGCACUUUAAUUUCAAGAAAUUAAGCUCAAUUUCAAUGAAAUUUAAUAAUUUGAUACUUUGUCUUUUUAAGAGAAAAUGUCCAGUAUACUGACACAAACCUGAGUUGCAAAUUAAGUUAUAAAAACUUUAUUUUCGAUGGGUAUUUAAAAAAAAAAAACAGGUGAAAUAUAUACCGUAGUAUGACUUCAAGAAUAUGUAUAAAAGUUAAAUCGAUACCAAGGUUAGGUAGAUUUCUUGUGAAUGAAAUCCUGCAAACAUAUCAUUAUCAACGCGAGUUGAUCGUGUUAGAAUAGCCUCAAAAUUCAAUCAUCCACUUGAAAAUUUGACCACUAAGGCAAAUUCUCACUUCUCUGCGUUUUUUUUUUCCUAACCUAACAUUUUUUUCCUAAUCUAACAUGAUGUUAGAAUAUGUAACGCGAAUAAUAUUAAAGAUGAAUAAAAUAAAUAAAUACAUAAACAUGUAAAAGCAUACAUAUUAUUACAUCAGAAGUUUCAUAGGAGUACAUAGUAUACAACAAUAUACAUAUUGGAUCAAGCUCCGUGCGUCCUUAAUUUGCACGGUCAAAAGUUUACAAUGUGAAAAGAAUCCAUACCUUGUAAUAUAAUAAAGAAUAAAUAACACAAAAUAUAUAAGGAAAAACAUACAAAGUAUAUAAAUUAACAAAUAUUAUAUUAAUUUUUUAAAAAAUAAUUCUUCAUAGAAAGUUAAUUUUUAUAUUUAAAUAAUUUAAUUUUUCUUCAUUACACUUGAAAUGAAUGCAAAUAACUUCCGAUCCUAAACAAAUAUUAAAUAUAAGAUGUAACGUGAAUAAUAUUAAAGAUGAUUAAAGAAAAUAAAUAUGUAAAAGUAUACAUUAUUACAUGGAAUUGAGCAAAUUAAAUCAAUCUAAAUAUUUUUCACUAAUCAGUAAAAUGGUACUUAAACUGAAGUUCCGUAAUGCAAAGAAUUAUUCAUUUUAAAUCCACACUUAAAUCAGUUUUCCUUGUAAGGUAGUGCAUGCAAUUCAAAUAUUAUAGAAUUCUACUUUUAGUUUGCUAACUAUAAAAGGAUUCUAAUGUUCUAUAACAUUUUUUCUGUCCUUCACUACUAUAAAAAAGCAUUUCCACGACAUGAAUAUAACAUCGGUGCUAUGCGAACGUUGUUGAAUCCGUAGCGGUGGCAUUUUUGUAAAUACCCCGACAUUAACGACAAUGUUUUUGGAGCUGCCCGAUGUCGUAUUUGAGCGGUUCAAAUGACUACGUUUGAGUAGUGAAAAACGUCUUCGUAUUUCACAUACAACAACGUUUUCUAAGAAAUCGCCGUCCUUGUUGCAGUUUUGCAAAAUAAAAUUUUAGAAACCGCGCCAUUAUCCUUUAACUCUUUGCCCUUCCUAUCUGUCGUGAGCACGCCCUAGCUAGCAACCUCCUUCGUAGCAAACCUCUGUGGUGCCCUCCCUCGUGUGCUUCUGCGUUUCGUCGGUGUCGGUAACUUGUCCGGGCUAGGUUUUGUCCAACUUUUGUGAGGUAAGUAAACUUUGUUAAUUACUUGUUAGUUUUGGUCAUUUACCAGUUCUAGGGUCUGUCCGGGCUUGGUAUUUACAGUUGAGGUCGAACUCUAGGGUCUGUUGGACUGAGUUCUGCAUAAGCAACAUGAAAAUAUAACAACAUUACAAUUGGGUGCUAUGGUAAGGACUGUGUUCGAAAGUGAAAAUAGUUUUUUUAAUUGGAGUUGCAUGUACACUUUGAGGUAACCCGCGCCAUUACCUUUUCUAUCUACGUACUCUCCUGGAUUGUUGGUAAAAAAUAUGUAUUUUAAUUAGCUACAAAAUAUCAUCUUCGGUCUCUUUUAUAAGCCUUUCUACAUCUUUACCUGCAACAUAAAAUUCCAAAAGUUUUUUAGUUAAAAGUAGAACGGGGAAACUAAUAAUAAAAUAAUAAUAAUCUUGAGCUUUCUUUAAAGGCAGCAUUAUAGUUGAGAAUGUGGCAGCAGAUAUACUGUUACAAUCUGUGCUUAUAGAGUUUCAAUGCACUCAAUUUCAAUCUUGGCAUCCAAUGGCAAUGUAGCCACUUCUUAAAUUGAACCGUUGGAAAAGCAGCUAAAUAAAAUUGUUGAAGUAAUUAUAGGCAUUAAUUAUGAGUGAAAAUUAAAUAAUACCAACUCAAGGGGAAAAUCUUAUGAUUUUCAGCAUAGUACUCUUAGUUUCUCUAACAUUAAUCACCCUAAUUAUAUAUUAAAUAUGACAAGUUGACAAAAUAACCGAUUAUGUAUGACAAGAUGAAUCUUUAAGAGUUAAACCAUAAUAAAGCAUGAAGGUUUUUAAUCUAACAGCUGCUCACUCUUCUUCCAUGGUACGUGUAUGUUACCUACAAGCUAACACAUUUCUCAGCCCACAAAUGUAACAGGAUAAAUUUUUACAGCACAGAAUAAACUAUGCCAUAAGUGAAAUUCAUUAGUAAACACACUACCCACUCUUUUAAAUGCACUCUUUACUAUUAGUUGAAAUCAGUUAGAAAUUGCUAAGUCUAUUCCCAAAGGAUCAUAUGUCAGUGGUGAAACAAUCAAAAUGCUAAUUCCUAAACACACAUAAAACUCGAAUCCCAAUUUCCUAGACACCCAUGCUCAGGGCAAAUCUGUCAAGUCUAAACUCUAUUACAUACUUACGUAGAAUACAAAGUACAAAGAUUUAUGAGUAUGAGUUAAAUAUACAACAUCAAAGAGAACCAACCAGACUUUCCAAUAUUUCCAAAUUUGAAAUGCAACUCUAGGAUUGUGUGGUAGCCUACUUAUUAAUUAUGCUACAAUAUCCUAGUAAAAACUUAAAACGUACGCUAAAGUUUCAGAAUUUCGGUGCUGAAUCACAUGCUUUUGCUUUAUAUAUUGCAGCAGCAAAUUAGAGUACAAAAAAACCAAUAACAAUGACAAAGGUUUAUAUGUAGGUCCGUGUAGCACAGGUUUUGGUUCGCAUACCUUGAGUGAAAAACCGCACACAGUUUUUGAUGGUACACAAAACCUAACAGUAGUAAAAGCUAAAUAAAUUACCAAGAAAUCUAAAAUCAAGUAAUAAAGUCAAAAUGAUUUUACAUACAAAGAGAAUGGAGUGAGAGAAAGGUUCACCAACAAUGGCACAACCAGACCGCAAGAGGAAAACUCAAAAAGGAAAAAGAGCGAGGCAGAGACAAACAAUUACGAGAGCGAGAGAGACAACUCCAACGAUGGCAAUGUGAUGGGUAGGGUUUAUGAAAGGCAGGGCAAUAAUGGCGAGGGUCAAGGAAUAGAGCUUCGUGAGGGCAACAGUGGUGAAGUCACGGAUACAAACCCUACAUUGUCCCCAUAACCCUAAUGCGCAGAUACAAACAAUUAAAUAUAUUAUAUUACAAAUUUUAAACCCUACCGCGUAAAACAAAAUCACUAAAUCCUAACACUACCUAAAAUUUAUUAAACAAAACACUUUAAACAGGAGAAGCCUUUCAGGGCAACAUCUUCAAGGUGAAGCAGAUCAGGGUAGUUUCACCAAGUCAAUUUAAUCAAAAAAGCACUUUAAACAAAAGAAAGUUUUCAGGGUAGCACCUCCUAUGUGAAGCAGACCAGGAUGACACCUCCUCUUGUACUGACAUCCACCUAAACAAAUGACAGAGAUCAGGGUGGCAUCAUUAUAGGAGGAGGCUUACUGAUGCUUCUCAUUAUCAACGUGAUAAAAUAAUAUUCAUCUUGAUAAAUAAUUUGUUGACCAACUCAUAUAGGUAAAUAGCUUUUAUUUUUCACCCAUAUUGAUAAAAAAAGUUGACAAAUGACAUUAAUUUCAAAAUCAGGGAUAAAAAUCUGGGACAAAAUCAUUUGGUACCUACAUUUUUCAGUGGUAAAAAUCUGGGACAAAAGACAAAAUGGGAAAAAAUCUACGUACACAAAUUGCAUUUGGCCUCCUCAAAGCUUAUGAGUGUAAAACUCUUUUUAAUUAAUAUUCCAAGAGGCUCAUUUCUUUUAAAUGCAUGUCAUAUAAUUUGCCAAGAAAGAAAAAAUGGCAUAAAAAACUUAACAUAUGCCAAAGCUUAAACAAAUAGACUAUGUGAUUAAAAGGAACCGGUGAUAUAUAAUUGCUUUGAAAUCCCUGUGAAAGCUUCACUGUUAGGUUGAUUAGUUCUCACUUAGUUGACAUAAUUUAAAGAAAACAAAAUCAGUUUCAAGGUUUAUGAAUUUCAGUUUGACCACAAUCAAACCGUAUAACAAAAAUCUAAUGAGACAACAAUAUUUUAAACAAGAAAAAAAUUCAUGUUAUUAUCACUCACAAUAGAUGUAACAGUACUCACUAGAAACUAGAAAAUAUAUGAUUAACAUUGAUUCUAGAGACAUUCAACAUCGGUUUUGAAUCGAUGUUGGAAUUAUCAUUGUUAAAAGUAUGUCAUGUUUUACAUUAAUUAUAAAAUUGAUGGUCAAAAUCACUUCCAAAAUUAAUGUGAUAUAGUAGCAAAAAUUAUCAGUUUUAAUCAAAACUAAUAUUGUAAGUACUAUAAAAUAUUGAUUUUGUUAAAACCGAUGUUGCAUAAUGCAUACAUCAUUAGUUUUGACAGAACCAAUGUUUUAUACUACUUACAACAUUAAUUUUUGAUAAAAUUGAUGUUGUUUUUGUUAUUAUACCACAUUAAUUUUGAUUAAAAUUGAUAUUGUACAAUAUCAUUUUAGAUAUAAUUGAUGUUGAUUUUGCAAAAAAAUAAAUAUAUUUUAUCUAUUUGUUAAAUAAAAUCAAACCUGUAAAUUAAAAACAAAAUCAAUCUAAACAUAUAAUAUAUAUAUAUAUAUAUAUAUAUUAAAUAAAGAAAUACUUAAAGAUAUCAAACAAUGAUCUCAAUACAUAAAUAUCUUCCAUAAGCUAUGUUAAACAAUGAUUUUUGGACCUCUAGUAAAGUACAUUUAAAAAAAUUUCCUCUUUUUUUUACUACAUUAAAAAAUGCUUCAAAACAUACCAUCGAAGUUAAUAAAAGAUAAAUAUAACUCAGAAUAUAAUUCCAAAUAUAAAAUAUUUUAUUCUCUUUUUUUUACUACAUUCUCUUUUUUGUUUUUCCGUUCAUGAAUCUUGUCAAACAGGUAUAGUGUUUUUCUCUGUAAUGAAAGAGACAAAUAUAACUCCAAAUAUAACUCAGAAUAGACAUAAGAUAAAAGAUGACUUGUGAGACUUACCUCAUGAGUAUCCCUUUAGAGACAGCUUCAAAUAUAACUCCAGUAUAAUAGUCAAGACCUCGGGUCAGACAUAAGUCAAAAACCACGUUAUCAAGGCGUUUUUGAUUUAUCCAUAAGUUUAAAUAAAAUUUAUAGGUCAUUCAAUGCAUCAACGGAUCCAUCAUCUUUUAAGAAAGCACUGCCUUCUUUAAAUUUAGACAACAAUGCUAGAGGAGGUCCUUUUUCUUUGAUAUAAGUUUCAAUUUUGUCAGCAAUCUCAGCAAUUAAUCCUUUCUCUUCCACCUACUGCAUGACAGUACAAAAACACAUCAUUAAACAUAACAUAUAUAUCAUGAUUACAAGACAACAACUUUCCAAUAUUACAGUAAUAGGGAAUAUUAUUGUCUCAAAUUUUAAUUGGUCAUACACAUAGAAAGAAACAAAAUCAUAAGUCUCAAAGACCUAAGGCAAUGAAUGUAGUGGAAUAUGCUUGAACAGUUUUACGAACAUUUAAAUCAUGAAAUGCAAUUUCUUUUUUAUUUUAUUAAACAAUGUCUAAGUUUUGAAGCACCAAGUCUAAUCUAAUGUUAUUAAAUAAAAUAAUCCUUUGCAUUGAAGCACCAGAUCUUACCUCAUACAAACAAAUGAAUUAUAAGAAAGAAAGUCACAAUGGUGUCCUAGAAACCAUUAGAAUGAUAUGAAGAGUUCCUCAUUCUAACAGCAAGGAGUCCAACGAAUAAUUUAAAGGCAAUAAUUACAUAGAACUUCACAAAAAUAUAAAUGUACAAGCAUCUUUCUUGGAUGCCAAUAAAUGAUAAAACACAACUUACACUAGUUUCUACAGUACAUAGAACAUUUUGCAGCCUCAGAUAACUGCAUCAAGACAAAUGAUAUAAGGUGCAAAAUAAUUGGUCAAGAUAAAAUGCAGAAAUAUAUAACAUAUUUACUAGCAUGGUUAUAGUCAUCACUCAACACAUUGUUACUAUAGACCAAAGACAACAUUAAACUUUGAACUAAUGAAAACAGUGGUAAAAAAUAGUUCAUUUGGUCAUCUAGGCAGGGCAGAAAAGAGACACACUUCCUCAGAAAACCUGAGGGAAGUAAGCCUGAUGAUGUGGCUAAUGGGACCAGAUCCUGUAAUUUCAGAUAACAUGCCAAUUUACUUUGGCUUAAAAUACCCAGUAGCCAAUGGUAUCUAAUAUAAAGGAGUAUGAUACUUUACUAACACCAUCUGAACUUAAAAUUACCUAGCAAUCCAAGAAAAUGCCCUAAAAAUAGAAUUUGAAUUUCUCAGUUGUGUGCGACUUGCAAUCCUGAAGUCAAAGCUCCCUUUAUCUUGUAAUUUCCAAGAUCUUUAUUCCUAGCCACAUCUGUUUUGGACUAAAACUACUGAUUUUCCUAGCCAUAAUAUUCAUAAAUAUACCAAAAGUGAAAAAUCAUUGUGAUUAGUGGCAAUCCCUACAAAAUUUUCUUGUGCAUGAUAUGCUUAACCGAAGCACUGGCUCUGGCAAAUAUUAGUUAGUUGAAAUUCAUGUAACUUAAAUUUAUGAAAAUAAUCAUUAGAAAAAAAAAAACCGUCUCUAGAUCUUCCUUUGCUUGUUCACGAUCACAGUACUCGGCCCAUUCUCAUACGCAUAUGCGUUGUUUUUUUUUUCCAUAUAAGAGGCAACCUUAUAAGGUUAAUUGUAGUCUAUACUUAUCACCUGCUACUUUGCCACCAAUAUUUCCAGUAGUUUUGCUAAGCUGAUGACCACCUACACAUGAUAAGGAAGAAAAAUAACAUGCAAUAACCUGAAAAUGUUAUGUCCUAGUAUUCGAGAACUAGGAAGAACUCCAGAAGAGGGAUUAGAGGAGAGGAAAUUUCUGUUUUAUUGCUUGCAUUUCAUUACAAUGACUAUCAUAUUUAUAAGCACUGAAAUGCUAAUUCUGUUAUUGCAUUUCCUCUACAGGUCCUAAGGUGCACAAAAAGCAAAAUAACAGAAUGGUAGUGAAGCAUGAUUCCUAGCCAGCAACAAGAUCUCCUUCGACCAAUGAGAGGCUACCAGCUCAGCGUUUGUUGUUGGCACGGGUCACGUAGUCCUCCAGGUAGUGUGGCUUGCAUAUUCUCCUUUUGUUUCUUGUCUGCUCCUUGUCUGCUACUAAUUCCCCUGUGUUGGUUUGCCCUUUGCUGAGUUGAUUUAUAACAUAAAAACAAUAAAAAGUUCUUUGUCUCGCAAUAAACACCUGAAAUAUAGAAAGGCAUAGACAAAGAUUCAGUCAUAUCAUCACAACAUGGACCGUAAAUUUUGUUUGGAGAUAAGCUACUACCUAGAGGAAGAUGCCAGAUUGAACAAAUGAUUCAUCAAAUUCUUGGCUUCAAGAACGGAAUGCACUUGGUUCCAACGUCCCUUGCCACUGAAAACCCAUUCCGGCUCUUCUGCCUUUGGUAAAUGAGAUGCCAUUGACAUGUCUACGACGGGUAGGGGCAAACGUCGUCGUUCUCAUGCCCUUAAAUACGAACAUGCCACCAGUUCACCUUCUACGGCGGUUCUGUGAAAUCGUCGUAGAAUUCUUGACGUAGAAAGCUGCUUUUAUAGUAGUGACAGCAAUGUUAUAGAAGAAGUAGCAAUUAUUUUUUCAAGGGCAAAUAUCCUUGAAUUUCUUGCACCCAAAGACAUUGAUGCGAGGCCAGCACUAGAUUAGCAAUUAGGCAAGAAGAUGUUGUUAAUUAUAUAUUUCCAAAUACAAGGUUAUAAUUGAAUCUAAAGAAGAAAAAUUGUCCAUCAUGACUCUAAAGGGAAAGAAAAACAAAACACAACUUUCUGCUUCAAACUGAGUAUUAGAAGUUCCAUUAGUAGGAUCGUUUCACCUUAUGAGAUUUAAUUCUCUGGAUCUCAUCCUGUAGUCGUUUUGCAGCCUCGUCACUUUUGGUUUUGUCUCAAUAGUGGAGACUGAGAUUCUUGUUUCUAAAGAAGUGUUAUCAAUCAAGAAAACAAAAAUAAUAUUUGCAUUUCAAUUUUUUUUUAUCAUGUUCAUACUUAUAGAAAAAAUAGAAAAAAAAAGCAUAUUUUUUAUCUUACCAUCUAAAAUUAUAAAAUAAUGAAUAUUUUUUUUAUUGUAUAAAUAUAUCGUUACUAAAUAUAUACAAUGUAUAUUUUAUUUUAUAUUAAAGAAAUUUUACUUUUGACACAUACAUAUAUAUAUAUAUAUAUAUAUAUAUAUAUAUAUAUAUAUAUAUAUAUUCCAUAAGAAUCAAAGACAAGUACUUAAAAUUAUACUCACUGAUAUAGUUACACAUAUACAUACAUGAAUUUUAAAUUUAGAAUUUAAUUAAUUAAAAUCUCUCUAAUAUAUUUCCAUUGUUAAAGAAAAAGUGUUUUAUAUAAGAGCAAUAUAUCAACAAACUUAUAGGUUCUUACCACAAGCAUAUAACGAAAUAAGAAUCAAACCGUCAUUAAUGGUGCAUUACUGAAUCACAAGGUUUAAAAACCUUAUUCAUGACUACACACAAAAGACGGGAGUCAAGUAGUCAUGUGUUUACACAUCAAGAGAGACAUACUCAUCCAAGGAAAUUAAACAGUAGAAUAAAAUAAAGUAAAAUAACAUGUUAAGAAUAUCAUGCAAUUAAAAUAGAAACUCAUGCCCUCAAUGUCACGUCCUAUUAGAGCAUUGUAUCUUGACGUCCUCCUGCACAAGAUUUCUUAAGGCAAUCCACCUAAUCAUCUUCUCCCACGAACACAAAGUUCAAGAUUAUCACAGGAUACAAACACAAACAACACACAGGGAGUGAGUUAUCGCAUUCUUAAACAUGUAGAGAUAACUGAAAACACAUAUAUACAUAUAAUAUAAGUAUAAGAAGCUUAACUUAACACAAUUCGCAUCAUUUUACCACUCAUUAUAUAACGUCACUUGUCCCCAAGGAUUUAAUCACAAAUCACAUUCCACACUUUCACAUUAAUCACGUGUUUAGAACGACACAUCUCUAGUACAACACAACAUCUCAAACUCACAUAAUUCAUUGCCCACCAUUACGUAACAAGUCAUAAUGAUCAUUACAUAAGCUUUAUGCAACAUAUACACUAAGACUUAAUCAUAUAUGCAAUGUGAUAUCAUGUCAGUGAAAAACAACAGCAAGGUGCCUAGAAGUACAUAACAAAAGACACCACACAAUGAGUAUGUCAAGUAACUCUCACUAAGUGAAAUCAUAAGGUGACCAGUCAAGGUCCCUCUAUUUUGCGAGAAUGCUCCAACCAUAUAAGAUUAAUAUAGGCUUAAAGAAGCACUCAAAUCGAGUGUAUUUACCCCCAAGGCUUAGUGAUAACUGCUAAAUAUGAGUUAUUUUGAUAAUAAAAAUAUAUUGAAAAUAUCUUUAAAAAUAUUUAUUUAACAGUUAUCUUUGGCUUAAAUAUUAAGAUUUGAUAUUUUUGUUAUUUAUGACUUGCAGAUAUGAAAAGGAGAGAUUAAAAGAGAAAAAGAUUGAGAAAAUAUCCAAAAUAUCAGGAAGUCUCAAGGAGAUAUGAUUAAAAGCAAAACAAAUCAAAAAAAUAUCAUUAGGAAGAUUUUUAACAUUAGGCCCAAGUCCACUCCAACAACUAUAAAAAGAGAGUCAAGCCAAGGAGGAGAAACACAACACCACAUAACCCCAUCCCCUAGGGGUUUCAUUUACUCCCUUUCUUUCUUUACCCCUCUUAUCCAAUCAGUCCUUAUACCUCAUCCAUUUUAAAACCCCCUCAAUGGCCAUAAGUGGCUAAACCUCUAAUUAGGGCCUUGCAGGCCUAAAAGCCAAGCGAUGUAUGAUGUAUUCAUUAUUUAUCAAUGCAAAUGUGUUUUCUAUUCUAUUAUCUUUUCUGUUUUUAUCUUGCAUUAUUCAUCUUUAAUUAUGUUAGGGAUUAGACGCUCAGGAGAGGGUAACUUCUAAGUAAGAUUUAAAGAAGAUAUGCAUGUAUUGGUUUUAGGGGUUAGACGCUCGGAAGAGGAUAACUUCUAAUAGAACAAAAAUAAAGGAUUUUAUAAGAAAAUCAUUGCUAGGAAUAUAAUGAUAAUUUUAUGCCUAUGCAUUCUUGCAAACAUCUAGAAUUCAUACUUCAUAUACUUUAUUUGUUGAGUCUUUGCAAAGGAAUUUAGAAGAUAGAUAAAUAAAAUAGGCUUGUCAUUAUAAGGAAUCAGAGGCAAGUAAUUGAACAGAUGUAUGUAGAAUAGAAUUACCUAAAUUGAUAAAGAAAAAGAAAAAUCAUAAACUCAUACAUCCUAGGCAAACAAGGUAGGUCAGGUCCUAACCUUAUCAAAAUUUGAUUUGAUUUUAUUUUUAUCUUUUACUUUUCUUAUCUUAUCUUUUAUCUUUUAUUUUCUUUUAUUUUUAUCAUCUCUUAAUUUAAAUAUUUUAUCUUCUCUAUCUUCUAUUUUUAUCUUUAAAUCUUUUAUCCUUUCUUUUAAAUCUUUAUCUUAUCUAAUAUACUUCUUUAUCUUUAUUUUAAAUUCUUUAUCAAUUGCUUUUAACUUGGGUUUGCAUUAAUCUAAGUACAAAUAAAGUUCCUGUGGAUUCGACACUCGGACUUCCGAGUACUUUACUACUUGUGACAAUUUGGUACACUUGCCAACAUGUUAACACUUAGACUCCAAAGAAUUCAUUAGGAUCUUACCUUUCUGAUUCAGAUCCAACCCCUAAAAUAACUUUUGCAUACAAAUACUACUCGUGAAUUAUGCAAUACCCACGGUCUUACACUUAUUUUUAAAACACAUUUAACCCAAUGCAUUACAAUUUAACUCCUCAGGUUCUUAACUUGGAACCGUACACUCUUCCUUUAACACUUCUCGCAUUGCACUACAAUUUAACAUCUCAAGUUCCUAACUUGAAAUCCCUAUACUUUUCUUUUAAUACCAUUCACAUUGCGCUACAAUUUAACAUAUCAAGUUCUUAACUUGGAACUCUACACUUUCCUUUUAAAACCUUGCGCAUAAAUAUUUUUCUAAGGUAAACACCAAUUAGGUGAUUGUAUAAUACACAACUCAAAACACAACUAAUAUCAUAUCAAGUAUUAAUCACACACUUAUUCACAAGCUAAUAGACCAAUUGUGUUAUAAAAUAAUUAAUGUCACUAUAUAUAACACGAAAAUUUAUAAUGUAUAUUUAAUGCAUAUAUAAAUUUAAAUAAUAAAUUUAGUGACAAUUAAAUUUGAUCUAAUAAUUAAUUUAUUUACAUAUAUGAAUUAUUAUAAAUGAAACCUAUGAUUUUUAUUUAAAAUUUAUAUAUAUAUAUAUAUAUAUAUAUAUAUAUAUAUUUAUGUUAAUUUACAUGUGCAUUAAAUAUACAUUAAAAUUUUAUAUAUGUUAAUAAUGUAUUUUUUACAUAUAUAAAAUUUUAUUAAACCUACGAUUUUUAUUUACAAUUUAUAUAUGUAAAUAAAUUAAUUAUUAGAUCAAAAUUAAUUGUCAUAAAAUUUAUUAUGUAAAUUUACAUGUGCAUUAAAUAUACAUUAAAAGUUUUAGUGUUAUAUAUAACGACAUUAAUUAUUUUAUAACAUAAUUGACUUAUUAGCUCAAUUGAUUAUCAAUUGGUUAGAGCGUCUUGCUAAUAAUGUGAAAGUCACAAGUUCAAUUUCUGCCUAGACAAUUAAUUUUAAAUUAAUUCGUAAAAUAUAUCCUUUAAAAAAUUAAUAAAAAAUUGUAUAAACCAUUUACGGAUUAGGAAAUCCAUAAGCCAAUUACGGAUCUAUAAUUGAUUUAUGAAUUGUGAAUCCGUAAACCAAUUACAGAAAGACAAUAUGAGAAUUACAUAUAUUAUGCUGGGUGUACCAGAAAAACAAAUGGUGCACGUAGCAAUUCUGAAACCAAUAAUGUUUUGUGUUGGACUUUUAUGGACUUUCUUAUAUUUAGGGUUUUUUAAUUGUAAUCCAUAGCCCUAGUAUAUCAACACGCUUUCGUAUGAACUAGGGUUAUCAGAAAUUAAAUGUAGAAGCAGUUUUCUUUAAGCUUUCCUUUAUCGUCCCCUUGCAAUUUAUCUUUCUUAGUCUAGUUAGCAGCAGAGUCUAUCAAUCUAAAUGUGAAAUGCUAUUCAGUUAUCUAAGACUGGACCACUUUAGAAGAUAAGAACGAAACAUCGUAGUUCUAAAAAUGCAUUAUUAUGGCGUCAUAUUUAAAGGUGAUUCUCACAAAAUGUUUCUCAUGCUGGUGUUGGUGAGCAUAACACAUUUUUCUAGAACAAAUGAUAUCUAGGCAAUUCUAUCAUGAGCAUAAUGCUUUACGUAAAACAUCCAAUCAAAAACUCAAGAUAAAAUUGAAAUAAUUUCAGUUCAAGUUUCCUUAUAAGUAGUUCAUGCAUUUUCCUUUUCUUUGCUGACUUGUCGUUAAUUUUUAAUUAAUUGAAGGAAAGGGAACAAUUGAUUUGAAUUAUUAUAUUUUCUGAAACAAAAAAUAAUACUAUAUUUGUUUCCUUUAUUUUAAUAGGAAAAAAAAUAAAGCUUACACAUGUUAUCAUUAAUUUGGUUAAGGUAUCUAAAGUUCAGAAACCCAAAAAAACUAAAAUAAAAUGACCUACAAUAUAUAUAAAAAAAAGAUACAGUACAAAAAUAGGAAAGAACAAUUAAAACUCAAGCAUGUUUAUUAAGUUCAAUCUUUCAGCUAUAUAUAAGUGACAAUGUAGAGCUAAUCCAUUGAAGAUGAGCUUGACAUUACCAGCUCAUUGGCAACCUGCUCCAUGGUAGGGCGAGAUCGUGGACUUUCAGUCAAGCAGGCCAUUGCUAUCUUUGCAAUUGAUGCCACUUCCUUACCAAUUGGCUUUGUUGGAUGAGGGAGACGUUGGUCCAACUUAUCCAUCAAUGCCAUGAGAUCGAGUGUUGAGGCCACAAGAGUAGAUGGAGAUGAUCCCAAUAAAGAAGAUAUAACAUCACCAGGGUGCUUCCCAAAAAGUAUUUCCCAUGCUAGGACCCCAAAACUAUACACGUCACAUUUCUCAUUAACCUCCAUUGUGUAUGCAAGUUCUGUAACAAAAUAAAAGUGCUAUCAUACGCAAAAUAAGAUUCUAGUGACAAAGGCAAAAUGUGGACAAUUGUGACUAAGAAAGGCAAACUAAAAAAUAUGAUAUCCUCAAUUUAGUAUAAAGAAAGGUAAUUAACCUGGAGCAGCAUAUCCAAAGGUUCCUACGAAUGAGGUCCAAUUGGAUGAAUCUGGAUUAAGAAACUUGGCCGUUCCAAAGUCUGAGACAUGAGCUACAUAUUCGGAAUCCAAAAGAACAUUCUUGCUUGAUAUAUCACGAUGAACAAUUCGAGGUGAGCAUUCAUGGUGCAUAUAGCACAAAGCAUUUGCUACAUCUUUAACAACAUUCACCCUCUUAUACCAAUCAAAUGCCAUUGCUUGCCCAUCAUCCUUCAGAGUCUUCUCAACACUGCCAUUCUCCAGGAAUUCACACACCAAAAAUGAGAAUUGUGAAUGUGAACAAAACCCAAAUAACUUUACAAUGUUACGAUGUCGAAUUUCUGUCAAAGCUUGGAUCUCACAUGUGAAAGCUUUCAGAUUGAGCAUCUCUCCAUUUGGAACAGAAUGGAGUUUCUUCACAGCAACAACUUGACCUGUAGGCAGCACUGCUUUGUAAACACAUCCUUGCCCUCCAACACCAAUGAGAUGUUUGUCGUCAAAAUUUUCUGUGGCUUCAAUAAUAUUCUGGAAUACCAUUUUGCCAUCAAAACUCCAUAUUGCAAAUAUGUUAGGAGUUUGUAUACUUGUAGCCUGGUCUUCUUUGUUCGUUGAGGUUUGGCAUAAAUGAUACGAGACUCCGAAAGCAAAUAAUGCCAGUAUUAGAAUGCCCAAAGUAAGGGGUAAAAUUACUAUCAUAUGAUUAUGAGAUUUCCCACUUGAUGUUGAGCAAGGCUCCAAGCCAGUGACAUUGCCACACAAGCCUUUAUUAUUUCUCAAUGCUUCAAUUUUAGCAUUGUGGAAGGCUAGAAUGUUUGGAAGUGGACCCUCAAACUGGUUGUAUGAUAUAUCAAUAGAUGUCAAGCUCGUCAUAUCAUCGAAGCUAGAGACAUCACCUGAAAGAUUAUUGUGAGAGAGAUUCAGUGUUUCUAAGUUUUUUAAUUCUCCAAACAUUGAAGGUAUUGUUCCUCUCAAAGAAUUUCCACCAAGAUCAAGACUUGUAAGAAAUUUCAGUUUGCCAAGCUCUGAAGGAAUAUUUCCCUGAAAAUUAUUUUGGCUCAGACUCAUGUUCAAUAAAUUGAGCAAAUUUCCUAGUUGUUUUGGGAUUAAGCCAGACAACUUAUUUGAUCCAAGCUUCAAAAUUUGAAGUUUUUGCAUUGAUGCUAUUUCUUUGGGAACAUUUCCUGUAAGAUUAUUGUUGUCGAGUGAGAGAUCAAACAAGGGCAAGUUACAUAAAUCAUGUGGAAUGUUUCCUGUAAGAUGGUUUGAGAACAGGUGAAGUCGUUGUAAUUUGGUUGCCCCAGCUAGUUCUGGUGGUAUCACACCUGAUAAAUUAUUGUUGGAGAUCAUGAGGCUUGUGAGGCUACGAAACUUUCCCCAGUUAGGUGAAAGUUGACCAUAAAAGUUAUUGUCACUCAAUUCGAUGUAGUCCAAAUUUGGAAGUACACCAAAAGCAUCUGUUAUAUCCCCAGUUAGCUGGUUUCGCUGAAGCCGGACUCUUAUAAGGCUGGAGCAAUUCUUGAAACUCACUGGAAUUGGGCCUGUGAAGUUGUUAUUUUCAGCAGAAAUUUUUUUCAACUUUCCACCAAUGCAAAUGUUUUGAGGUAAAUGGCCUAUAAAAUUAUUGUCAGCUAGCUGCAAACUAUUCAGAGCAGUAAGCAUGCUCAUUUCUAUUGGAAUCUUGCCACCAAGUUCAUUUCCAAUAAAUACUAAUUUCCUGACAUUUGAUAAAUUUCUAAUAGUUGAAGGAAUUGAUCCAGUGAGUUCAUUAAAGGAUAUAGAUAAUACAUUAAGCUUUGACAAAUUUCCAAUGAUGAAAGGAAUAGAUCCAGAGAGUUUAUUUUCAUCAAGGAACAAGGAGUCCAAAUGGACCAAGUUGCCUGUGGAAGCUGGGAUUGGUCCAGUGAGUUCAUUCAAGGAUACAGAUAAUACACUAAGCUUUGACAAAUUUCCAAUGGUGAAAGGAAUGGAUCCAGAGAGUUUAUUUUCAUGAAGGUCCAUGAAGUCCAAAUUGACCAAGUUGCCUAUGGAAGCUGGGAUUGGUCCAGUGAGUUCAUUCAAGAAUAUAUAUAAUUCACUAAGCUUUGACAAAUUUCCAAUGGUGAAAGGAAUGGACCCAGAGAGUUUAUUUUUAAAAAGGUGCAUGGAGUCCAAAUUGACCAAGUUGCCUAUGGAAGCUGGGAUUGGUCUAGUGAGUUCAUUCAAGGAUAUAUAUAAUCCACUAAGCUUUGACAAAUUUCCAAUGGUGAAAGGAAUGGACCCAGAGAGUUUAUUUUCUUCAAGGAACAAGGAGUCCAAAUGGACCAAGUUGCCUAUGGAAGCUGGGAUUGGUCCAAUGAGUUCAUUAAAGGAUAUAGAUAAUACACUAAGCUUUGAUAAAUUUCCAAUGGUGAAAGGAAUGGACCCAGAGAGUUUAUUUAGAUCAAGGAGCAUAAAGUCCAAAUUGACCAAGUUGCCUAUGGAAGCUGGGAUUGGUCCAGUGAGUUCAUUCAAGGAUAUAUAUAAUACACUAAGCUUUGAUAAAUUUCCAAUGGUGAAAGGUAUGGACCCAGAGAGUUUAUUUUCAUGAAGGUGCAUGGAGUCCAAAUUGACCAAGUUGCUUAUGGAAACUGGGAUUGGUCCAGUGAGUUCAUUAAAGGAUAUAGAUAAUACAUUAAGCUUUGACAAAUUUCCAAUGGUGAAAGGAAUGAUACCAGAGAGAUCAUUGUAAGAAAGAUUAAGAAACAAGAGUUUGGAGAGAUUACCAAUGGUAUUGGGAAUGCUACCAAAGAGAUUAUUAGUGGACAAGUCAAGAGUGUUGAGAUUGGAUAAGGAACCAAUUUGAGGAGGAAUAGUUCCAUUCAAGGAAUUGUGACUCAUAUUUAGAGUGAGAAUGUUUGGAAGUAAUGAGAAGUUGAGACUUUGAAGCGUACCUCUUAAUCCAACAUUUGUAAGAUUUAUGUUGGAAACAGAAUUGAACUCAUCACAUGCAAUUCCGAGCCAAAUGCAAGGAUUAUUGCCACUCCAUGAAGAGAGAGAAGCAUGACUUUGGUUGUCAAGGCUGGAUUUCCACUUCAACAAAGCAUUUGCUUCUGAAGCAAUCUCAGAAGAAGCAGCAAAUGCACAGAAGUACAUCACAAGAAGCAGCAAAAGUGGUUGGAGCUUCAUGGACAGAAGCGUUGGAAUUAUGAACACCAUGAGGAAAUUUUGAGGAAGGAUUCAAUCACAGAUUGUCUGAUACAAUCAAAUGCUGGAGAAGUACUUACAAGCAAUUCAUGCGAUAUGCACACUUAUAUGCAAAACAUCGUGAACCACGAACCAGAGUCAAGAGAUAUUAUAUAACUAAUUUAUGGGAUAUUAUCCUUGAGAAACUUUAAAUAAAAUAUUUAUAACUAAUUUUUAUUUCUAAUGAACAUAAUAGGACCUUUUUCAGGGCAACAUAAUAGAACUUUAAAUUAAAUAUAAUUAUUAUUUUCUGGCAUUGUGAUUAUGGGAUCUUAAUAAUAAGCUUUAUAUAUUAUAUGUCUUAAAAAAUAAUUGCUGCUAAAAAAAAUAUAUAAGUUUUAUAAAAAAAUUAAUGUAAUAAAGUUAUGUAUUAUUAAAUAUAUAAUUUAGAAAAAAAAUAUUAAUUUGUUGCAGUCCCUUAUACAUUUUAAUUAUAUUAAAUCAUUUAAAUGUUAUAAUAUUGAAAACUAAUUAGGAUGAAGACCGAAGAGAAGCGACAAAUUCAUAAUAUGGAAAUAAUUAAAGUGAGAAAGACAAUAUCAAACAAGACAGCCGAUCAGUGGGAUCAAUAUAAGUCUGUAUGGGUAAAUUUCAAUACUGUUUCUGUUGGCAAGCAGAAAUUUCCAUAGUGUUAUGCAUGGGUAAAUUUCAAACUUCCACAUAACCAUUUCUGUAACACUAUUUUUUUAACAACUGUUUUAAUUAGAAUAUAAAAGAAAUUUAAUUUAAUUUAUGCUAUAAAUCAUUGAAUUUUAAAAAUAUAAUAAGUUUAAUUAUGUGUUUUAGAUGAGCUUAGUUGUUUCUUUUCUAGAUGAGUAUAAUUAAGAGUUACACUUUUGAUACAAGGGGAGGGGAGUUACUAUAUAUUUCAUGUAAAUUGUUAUCGGUUCCAAGUUAUCAAGAGGUUGAGAGUUUUUUUAUUUAUUUUAGAAUUACUCUCGUUGAAUAAAAUAUACAUGAUGAUUGCAUUAUGCAUUGUUUUCACACCAUUUUAUUGCAACGGAUAUGUUGCACAAUAAUUUUUAUAUGCCUAUUAUGAUUAUGAAGUCCUUGGGAUCCAUCAUCUUUUUGAAUUUUACUAAUAAAAAAAAUACGACUUCACACUAUCAUUAUCUCAACACCAAUCAAGAAAUUCAUAAAAUAUUAUAAAAAUAUAAUAAUAAUAUUUAUUUAUAUUUGAUGAUAUUUUUUAAAUGUUACCAAAAAAAUUUAGUAAUAUUUUACUAAAUGUUAAAUAAAAAAUAUUACUAACUUUCACUGUGUAGUAGUGAAUUAUAUUUUAGAUUAUUAUAAUUAACGGUAUAACUUAUACAAUUAAUUAUUAUGAUUAUAAAUAAAUAUUAUAUGUUUAAAAUAUAUUUUAAUUAUUAUUUUAGCAAAUUAGUAUUCUAAAAGAAUAAUUACAAAUGAUAUACGUAUAUAUAAGUAAAAUCAAAUUAAAUACAAAUAUUAAGGUAGUAUUUAGUUAGUGUUAUUAAUCAUAAUUAUAUAAAUAUUUAAAUAAUCUAGUAUUUUUCUAAUAUUAUAUUUGUUAAAAAUCAUACAUGAUAAAUUUUAAUAACAUUAUUAAAUAUAAUAUGUUGAUUGAAUUUAAUAAAUGUAAUGCUAAUAUAUGGAUAUUAGACAUUCAAAUUUUUGAAUGAUUUUAUUUAUAUAAAAAUUAUUAUUAAAUAAAAUGAAAUCACUAAAAUAUACAUUUUAAAAUCUUAUAAAGAAUAUUUUUUUAGUAAGUUGCGUUAAUCCUAAACGUUUAUAUCUAGGAGAAUGAUUUAUUUAAUAGAAAAAUUCAUAUUUAAUUUGUUUCGUGUGUAAAUUUUUUUAUUUCAAUGACAAACACCAAUAAUAAAUAAAACUAGUCUCGGACAGAAUAGGUAGAGGAAAUCCGUGUUCUUUGAACGGAUAAAAAUAGUAUAUUAAAUUAUAUAUUUUAUCAUAAGGAAUGAGCAGCAAAAGUGCAAUACUUCCGAUCUAUUAAAAGAGAAAAGUAUAAUGGAUAUGUUGGGAUGCAGUUCAAAAAGAUGUUUUAUUAUUUUAUCGACUGGAAAAAUAUCUUUUUUAUUUUUUAAGAGUUUUUAGUUAUUAAUUUUUUUUUUAACUUUUAUAAAGUAAAAGUUGCCAACAGAUUUUUUUUUUUAAGUUUACAUUUUCAGCUUGUGAAAUUUUCUUUGGGAAUGUGUUCCUUAAAUAAUGAUUGGAUAAUUAUGUUCUCAAAAAAUUUUAAAAUAACAAAAAAUAUUUUUCUCAUUUUUUAAACCUUCAAAAUUUUUCUCUCUUAUUCCUCUGAACGUGCCGUGCCUUCCUCAAAAUUUCUGUGUAUAGUGUAAUAUUUACAUAAGAAGAAAGAAUGAAGUAUAAUACCUGCCUUUCUAAAGGGAAAGAUACAAAAAAAAAAAAAAAAAAAGACAACAAAGAAAGACUACGAACGCGGAUAUAAGAAAAGCCAAGCAUGUGCACUGCAUCCAGGACCAGCCCUAAUAAGUAAUAACCCUUAGGGAGGGUUACAUGAUCACAAUUUGAUUUGAUAUACUUCAAGAUUAACGACUCAAAUGAAAAUAUCGAAUUUCCUUCCUAUUUUUUAAAAUAUAUAUCAAUGUAUUUACUAUUCAAUAAAAGAAUUAAAAAUGCUAUUAAAACCCUAAAUUUUAUAGAAAUUAAUGUAAAACAGCAAACACGUUAGAGUAAAAUAUCCUUUUUUACUUCAUUAACCCUCUAUCAUCCCGUUUACUUAAAGUACUAAAAGGAAAGGGUUGAAAUUAAUUUAUUAAAAUGACUCAUACAAAUAAUUUUAAUGUUCUACCAUUGCAUUAGAUUUUACUAAAACCCAAUUUAGUCUUUUUAAUUUUUUGUUAUCAUUAUCAAUUAAGUAUUAAAAUAUUUAUUAAUAGCAAUAUUACUAGAAUAAAUUACACUUUCCUCUCUUAAAAAAUGCGAAUAUCACACUAUCAUCUCCUCUUAUAUUAAAAACUUUACUCUCUUUUCCUAACACAUUUUAAUACAUGACACUUUAUUUCUUUUUAAUUUUGCGUUAAAAUUCUGUUUGUUUCCAUUAAAAUAAACUACAUUACUAAAAUAUUCUUUACACUACCACCGCCUCUAAGGUGCAAAUAUUUCACUGCACUCCCUUCUUGUGUUAAAAUACAUACUUCAUCCCUUAGCUAAUGUGCGCAUAUAUAUAUAUAUAUAUAUAUAUAUAUAUAUAUAUAUAUAUAUAUAUAUAUAUAUAUAUAUAUAGAGGAUAUUUCGUUUUUAAAAUGUUUAAUUAAUUUUUUUUAAACAAUUAUAAAAUUUUAAUGUCUGAAUACACACACUUAGUAAAUCAACGCUCUAAAUUCAUAGAAGUGUAAAUAGAUGCGUAAAAGGUGUUUUUAGGUUAUGCUUUAUUUUUAUUUACGAACAGAAACAGUUUUUUGAGAAGUGAAUUACACAAACAAUUGGGUGGUCCGAAUCUGUUAGUAUUUUUAAUCUCUUUUAUUUUUAAUGCAAUAUUAUAUGUUGUUUAAUGAUUAUGUGAUCAUAAUUGGCCAAACUCCUUAGAACCGGAUUCUGAUGUGGUUAUACUCAUUUACUUUAAUUUCUCUUUUUAAUAAAAUUCUUCUAUUCAAUUAAUUGUAUCUUUUCAUUGCUUUCACUUCUAUAUUGAAAUCACUCUGAUUAUUAGUUCAUUAUGUGCUUAUGGUCAUCUUCUCAUAAUUAAUUGACCUAUAGAAUGAAAUGGUUCAUAAAACUUGUAUGAUCAAACUGGUGACAUGAAUUUCUUUUUUUUACAAACUUCUAUAUUAUUUAUCUUUAACCAUAAAUUAAAUUCAAAAUGACUAAUGCAUGAUUAAUUUUGGGGAGAGAGUAUUCUCAGACUUUAACUAUAGGUUGACAAUUAAAAUAAGAGAUAUUAGACUAUUAAUCAAUAACUUAGAGUUCUUAAUUAAAAUAGGAAUUAAGGAAAAACGGUACAUGUGAAAUCAUAAUAUGAGUCACUCUUUUUCAUACAUAUCUUUUCUUCAAAUUGUUGUUUGUUUUUAAUUUUAUUUUCUUGAAUGCAAUACAAAUCAUCCCCAACUUAAGAUAAAAACUUAAAAUUAUUUAUUUUAUCUGAUUUAGAUUAUUUGAAAAUACAACUACACUUUAGGAUAUGAAUUCCAAACUUUCAGUUUAUGGUACACUUAGCAUUAAUAAAUCCAUAUUUUACGCAUUAGUAAUUAAGUAUGUUUUCAUUAUUCCUUUUCAAUUUUAAUUAUUGUUAUUAAGAUCAGAAUGGACCAUUUGAAUCUAUUUUUCUAAGGGAACUACUAUUGGCCCUUACACAUUGCCUUUGGACCCUACUCCCCCCUUCAAAAUACUCAUAUGUCCAUAUUGGGCAUUAACUACUUUUUUUUAAUUAUUAUUCAAUUUGAUCAUCUGUUUUGUGAUAUUCAUUCAUUAUGAUCUUUUCGUUUGACAUCAUUUGUGUCAAUUUAGACAAAGGAGUAAUAUGAGCAUUUUUGUUUUAGAAAUCAAAUUCAACAUUUUAAAAAUAGAUACAUCAUUAUGAAUAAUAUAAAUAAAAAAGAUCAAAAAAAUAAUUUAAACUAAAAAUAAGGAUAAAAAGAAAAAAAAGAAUUGAAAUGAAUGAAAUGGAUCAUGCGUAAAAUUAAACAUGUGAAUAUUUACUUAAAUUACAUUAAUCAACAUUUAAAAUAUCAUAUAUGUUUCUCAUUUAAAAUAAAUUAUUUCUCUUAAAAUUUAUUUUAGAUCUCACAUGUUAUUGGACCGACUCAUAUCUCUAUAUUUUCUACCACGGCAAAGCUAGCUCCAGCCAUUGCCAAAUGAUUUGAAGUCUCACCUCUUAAAUGAAUAGAAACUUUUCGCCAGAAUUAAACUCCACAUACUUUCUGGAAGUCUUUUGUACAGAGUCAAUUUCCAAAAUGGUGAUGUCUAGUUAAAGGCUAAUAGUAGUAUUAUGUAUGCUGUGGAUCCUGUCAUGUAUGUCACAUUCAUUGACUUUGCAUAAAAAAGAGAGAGAGCAAGUUAAUUAACAUUAUUUUACUGUCUUUCAUUAUAUAUUACAUCUGGAGAAUUUGCUGGUGGAUGCUGAUGGAGAGCUUAAAGUAUCAGAUUCUGCAUUGAGUGUUCUGCCUCAACAAUAAUUUGGAUCUUUCAAAUUAUUCCCGCAAGAGGGCUGGACCUAUUUUUUUUAUGAUGUUUCGAUAAAAAAAGAUUAAUUCUCUUCAUAAAAAAGAGGAGGUAGAACCAAUAAAGAGUGAUUAUUCGAUUCAUCCCUUGAAUUGAAUAACUCAUUCAAGAAAUGUUUUUGACCCAAUCCGGAGGAAUCAAUAGAAAAAGUAAAUCCCUUAUGAUACACUAGAUCUGGCUGGGUUAUUGAUAGAGUGAAUAGAUCUGUCAUUUCUUGAUAGAGUGCAAGGACUGAUCUAUUCUAUGGUCUUGUAGUGUUUUUCUUUUUGUUCUAAUGGCUGGUUAUUUGCAUUUCAAUGACAAUAACAUAAAGAAGAGUGGGGUAUUUUAUGAGUAUUCUAGCUCUCUUAAUAUAUGGAGUGGUCUUUUUUCCUAGCAUGAUUGACUGGAUUGAUCUCACAUUAGUUGAUGCAUUCUUAGUCUUUUAUUAUAGACAGGAAAGUCAUGUGGUUGCUUAAGAGUAACACAAAUAUCAAAUUGAAAUAGAUAAAAUCAUAUGAACUUUAAACAGUAAGGAAUUAAUAAUAUAUGAGCAAAGGUCUAAAAUUCAGUUAUUUAAGACCAGAGCACUUUAGAAGAUAAGACCCCAACAUCGUAGUUCUAAAAAUGCAUUAUUAUGACGUCAUAUGUAAAGGUGAUUCUCACAAAAUGUUUCUCAUGGUAGUGUUGGUUGUAACAUCCUAUUUUUCAUAAACUAAUUUAAAAAGGAUUGUUAUUUGUAAAUAAAUAGAGUUUUAUAAAAAAUGAUAAGGUUUUCAUAAUUAAAUAAAUAAGGAGAAAUAACUUUAUUAAUUAAAAUAAUGGUUUAGAGAAAAUAAAAAGGAUAUUUUAUUUAUUCAUUUGAUAGUGAAUAAAAUAGAGUUUAUUUUUAUAAAAUAAUAUAAAUAAAUAAAUAAAUAAAGUAAAUAAUAGGUUGUGAGUACCCUAGUUAUAAAUAGAGAAAUGUUAGGUCAGUUUUCAGACUGACGAUAUCUUUUCAACUUCCUCUUUCUCUUAAUUUUCCCUUCUCUUUCUCACAAAAUUCUCUCUUUUCCCACAUACCACCAAACCUAUAUCAGAAAAACGACGAUUUCAGAUUUCAGACUCAUUCACUGUUUGAUCGUCGUGAAAUUUAAAAACCAGGUUUGCAACUCAAUUCUGAGCAUUCUCACCGUUGGGAAUUACGAAAACAUAUCGAAGCUGAGAGUAAUACCCUUCGCAUUGUAACUUUUCUUUUCCCGCAGAAACCCAGAGCUAUCUCGGUAAAACUAUGAUCCCGAACUUUUUAACCGUUGGGUUGUUGUCUUAUUUUUAUAUGUGGUUCGCGAUUCAUUUAUGCAUGUUUUCACCGUUGGGAUUUACAAAAUAAUAUCUGUUGAGGGAGAAAGAUGCAUCGCAUGUAGGACCAUAGAAUGGAGGCUUCAAUCCCUUUUCUUUCUCUCCAACAUUUGGGAACCCUAACAGAGAAACCGGAGGAGGAGCUCUAGAGAGCACCAGAAACGCCACAAUUGAUAACGAAGAACGCUUGAGCGACUACAUCGAAGUAAAGGAUGAGUUAUUCACAAAUGGGGAUUAGUGAGAACAUGUAUAGGGAUCCUUAGAGUACCAAUUAGAAUGGGUUUUGGGGUGUUUCUGCAAAUUUUAUUUUAUCCUUAUAGUUAUAACUGUGAAUUAUAUAUGUUUGAUGAACCAAUUGAUGUCCCAAUGAAAAACUAUUGUGAAAUUGAUGUAUUCUUGUGUUGAGUGUGAACCCUAUAAAUUGAACCUUUGUCUAAUUAGCGUGAAUUGAUAAAAUUAAGUAAGUAGAGGUUUAGCGUAAGAGGGAGUGAGAUAUUGAUUUUGUAUUUUCUCUUUUUCAUGCUUUUUAGCGUAAGAGGGAGUGAGAUAUUGAUUUUAUAUUCAUGACCCAAUAUGAUGUAUGUUGUUGGUUUUAUAUAUAUAAAUUUAGCUAUAUAUUUAUUUAUAUUAAUAUUUUAUGUAAAUAAUAUUGUAGUGUUGUUAUAGUGUGAUUCCAAAAAUUAUUCAAGUGUUGGAGUUUGAGAAUAUUAUGGUCAGAUUUGAGGUACAUGUGUAUUGAGAUGUGUGUAUUGAGUUGUGAGUUGUGAAUUAUACAAUAGCCCAACCAGUGUUGAUAUUGAGAAAAGUGUUGAUGCGCAGUGUUAAAGAGAAAGUGUAGGUUUCCUAUUUAGGAAUCAGUGUUGAAUUGUAGCACAAUGUGUUAAACGUGUUUGAAACACGAGUGUGAGGUCGUGGAUAUUGUAUAAUUCAUGAGCAAUGUUUAUAAAUGAAAUAUGUGAUGUAUUGUUGAAUAACAUGUUGCUUUGAGAUUAUAAUAUUGUUACUGAGAUUGAGUAUAAGUACAAAGUUGAACAUGUGUUAAUUUGUGAGAUACGUGUAAACAUGUGAUGGUGGAUUGUGACACUAUGAUCUGUGAAAUUGUGAAUGAGUUUUGGCUGUGAAUAAGUGUGUGGUUAACACUUAAUGUGACAUUACUUGUGUUGUAAGUUGUGAAUUGUACAAUAAUCCGACUAGUGUUAUCUUGAGAAAAGUGUUGAUGCACAGUGUUAAAGAGAAAGUGUAAGUUUCUUAUUUAGGAACUAGUGUUAAAGAGAAAGUGUAGGUUUUCUAUUUAGGAACCAGUGUUAAAUUGUAGAGCAAUUGUGUUAAACGUGUUUAAAACAUGAAGGUGAGGUCGUGGGUAUUGUAUAAUUCAUGAGCAGUGUCUGCAUGCAAAAAAUUAUUUUAGGGGUUAGACCUGAAUCGGGAGAGAGAGGCCCUGACGGACUCUUCGGAGUGUAGACCUUGGGAGUCACCCAGUUUGAGUGCUCCUUUAAGCCUGUGCCGAUUCCGCAUGGUUGGAGCAUUUUCGUAAAACAGCGUGACCCUGACUGGUCUCCCUAUGAUUUUACUUAGUGAGAGUGACCUGACAUACCCAUUGUGUGGUGUGUCUUGGUAUGUACUCCUAAGCGCCCUAGGGUGGUUUUUCACUGAUAUGGUAUCAGAUUGCAUAUAGGCUUGAGUCUUAGCAUAACUAUUGCAUACGCUUGCUAAUUAUUUAUUAUGAAAUUGAUGUGUUAUUAUGUCUUGAUCGGAGUGUGUGAUUCUUGUGUAAUGUGAUUGAUGAUUGAAAAGUGUAAUUGAUGAUUGAAAAGUGAAUUUUGAAUGACAAAGUGAUUGAAUUACAUGAGUUAUGUUUAAGUAAGUUUUAUUUUAUUUAUAUGAUAUGUAUAUCUAGUUAUCUUGCUUCUCUAUUAGUUAGGAAUGUGAUAACUCACUCUCCUUGUGUUGUUUGUGUUUGGAUCCUGUGAUGAUCUUGAACUUUGUAUUCGAGGGAACAGAUGACUAGAUGAAUUGCUUUAAGGAACCUUGUACUGAAGGACGUCAGGACACAAUGCUUUGAUAGGAUGUGACAUUGGAGCAUAAUAGUCUAUUUUAUUUUACCUCACUGAUUUAACAAAAUAUUUUUUUAUAAAUUUUGACGGCCUUGUUUUGAGUUGAAUAUAUUUUUAAUAAGUUUUAUUUGGUAAUAGUGAAGUAAAUGUGAACCUUUUACCCAUGUGAAUUUGUUUACCAAUAUUUUAUAUGUUUUAUUUAUUUAUAUAAAUGUCGGGGUAGAGGGUGUCACAUUGGUCAGCAUAACACAUUUUUCUUCUAGAACACAUGAUAUCUACGCAAUUCUAAAAGUAUGAAACAAUUUUAAAUAGACUUUUGAAGAACCUUAUUGUAGAUGUAAUUGCCUUUGAUGUUUUGAUGAUGAUCAUGAUGAUGUGUUGCAAUUGAUGCAAAUGGGCUUUUCAAGAUUAAAUUCAAGACAAUACUUCAAGAUUACAAGUCACAACAUCAACAUGAUCACUAGAAUAUUAGGAAGGGAAUUCCUAAUUGAAUUAGCAAAGGUUUGGCCAAGUGAUUUAAAUUAAAAAAGUGUUUCUCAAAGGUUUUACUCUCUGGUAAUCGAUUACCAGAGGAUGUAAUCGAUUACCAGUGGCCAAAUACGUUUUAUAACAGCUACAAAAAUUUGAAUUCGAAAUUUUAGACUGUGUAAUCGAUUACACAAUUUUGGUAAUCGAUUACCAGCAGUUAGUAAACGUUUUAAUUCAAAUUUUAAAAGCUGUAAUCGAUUACACAAUCACUGUAAUCGAUUACCAGACAGGAUUUUCAGAAAAAUAAUUUCAAGAGUCACAACUUUUCAAAGGCUUUAUUCAUGACCACCAAUGGUCUAUAUAUAUGUGACUUAAACACGAAAUUGCUCAGAGAUUUUCAUAACAACAAGUGUUUAUCCUCUCAAAGAGAAAAUUCAUUUUAUCCUCUUAAGAAUUCCUUGGCCAAUUCAAUUGCAAUUCAUUAAGGAAUUAUUUGAGUGCUCAAUCUGUAAAAUCCAUCUCUUUCUAGAGAGAUUUGUUCUUCUUCUUCUUCUCAUUCUCUAAGGGAUUAAGAGACUGUGAGUCUCUUGUUGUAAAGGAAUUCUAAACACAAAGGAAGGAUUGUCCUUGUGUGUUUAGAACUUGUAAAAGGAAUUUACAAGAUAGUGGAACUCUCAAGCGGGUUGCUUGGGGACUGGACGUAGGCACAAGGGUGUGGCCGAACCAAUAUAAAACUGAGUUUGCAUUUUCUCUUCCCUUAAUCUCCUUUAUUUAUUAUUGCUUUAUAUUCAUAUUCAAAUUGUUUCAUUUGAAUUAAUAUUUAAGAAGAUUGUCAUUAAGGGAAUUCAUAACUUGAGUAAAAAGUGAAAUAGAUUUUUAAUUAGGGGAAAUAGUUUGGAAUAUCUUAAUUCAACCCCCCCUUCUUAAGAUAUCUGAGGCCACUUGUCUAACACUUAUAGUUAAAUACACUUUAACCAAUUUUAAAGAAUAAAAGUAUGAAACAAUAUAUAAACUCAAGAAUGUCAUUCUGUUAGCCUAUUUUAAUUCCAAAUUAUAAUAUUAAUUCCAAACUAUAUAUAAAAAACCCUAAAAAGCAAGAAAAGGGAAAAAAAUACAAAAUCAGAAUUUCAGUCCCUCUUACAGUAAAUAUUUCCUUAUUUAAUUUCAUUAAUUCACACUAAUUAGAAAAAUACUCAGUUUCUAGUAGGGGUGGGAAUAGGCCAGGUCUGAGCCUAGCCUACGAUUAAUUUUUGAGGCCUGAGCCUGGUCUAUAGCCUAUCAAAAGCUUUUAUUUUAGCUCGGUCUGACCUUUUUAAAAGCCUAGCCUGGCCUGGUAGCCUAUUUAAAAGCUUAUUUAAAAAUCUUCUUCACAUUAAAUCUUUAAUAUUUCUAGUUGUUUUUACCAAAAAAAAUAAAUAACACACCUUCUAUAAUAGGCUAAACAAGGCCUUAAUAUAUAAUUUGCCUUAAUUUUUAAUCUAACGUUAAUUUAGUUGGUAGUCCUAAAAAUAUAUUAAUAAUAUAAACAAAAAUCACCAAAUGAUAUAAAUAAUCUAAAACAAAAGAAAACCUCAUACUUAGGUAGUAUCAUCCAAGUCUAUCAAACCAACAUAUUAAUUAUUACAACCAAAAAAUAAAGCCUACAUCUCCAUUCUAUUUGAACAGAACCGGUGCAUAAAAUAUCUACCAAUAAAAUUAAUAGUAACGUCAUUUCAUCAUUAGCUCCUCCAUAUUCACCAUAAGAUAGGAUAUGAUUUUUGUAUAGGAACGUAAUAGGAUAUGAUAGGAUAUGAUUUUUGUAUAGGAACGUAGGAUAUGAUAGGAUAUGAUUUUUAUUUGCUCUAGAAUACAGUAACGUAAUAAAAGAAGAAGGAAAUCUAAUAGGAAUACAAAAAGGAAUUGUUAACAGAAAUAGGAAAACUAAUAAAAAUAAUGAGAAAUAUAAAGAAACUUACACCUUGUAAUUAAAAUUUUACUUAAUUAUAGGAAUGGAAUCUGCUAGUUUUUUUAAAAAAAUAAUAUUAAUUGUACCCAAAAAAUAAUAUAUAUAUAUAUAUAUAUAUAUAUAUAUAUAUAUAUAUAUAUAUAUAUAUAUAGGCCGGCCUAUCAGGCUUAUAAGGCUUUUUAAUAAGUCUAAGUCUGGCCUAUUUAAUUUAAUAGGCUUUUAAAAAAGCCUGAGCCUAGCUUUUUAAUUAAAUAGGCCAGGUCAGGUCAGGCUUUAUGUAGGCCAGGUCGUAGGCUCCUGUAGGCCGGCCUAGCCUAUUCUCACCCCUAGUUUCUAGGAUUCAAACUCAACACAAGAACACAUCAAUUUCAUAGCAAUUUCACAUCGGAACACCAAUUAGUCUGUCAAACAUAUAUAAUUCACAGUUAUAGUUGUAAACAUAGAAUCAAAAUUUCAUAAAAACCCCAAAAUUCAUCUCAAUUGAUCUUCUAAGGAUACUUAUACAUGUUCUCACUACUCCCAAUGGUUAACAAGUCACGGAUGAUAGUUUUACUAGAAAAGGGAAUGAUCUAGAAGGAAGAGAAAGUGUAGAAAUAUCUUAAUAUAAGUACUGACCUAAUAUGUUUCUAUUUAUAACUAAGAUGUUCUGAUUAUAUUAUUUACUCUAUUUUUCUUUAUUUUAUUGUUUUAUAAAAAUGAACUAUAUUUUCUUAUUAUGAAAUGAAUAAAUAUAAUAUUCUUUUUAUUUUCUAAAAACACAUUUAUUUUAUUUACCUUCAAAUCAUUAUUUUAAUUAAUAAAAAUAUUUCUCUUUAUUUAUUAAAUUAAAAAUUUCAAUAUUUUUCUAAAAAUUUAUUUAUUUUUAAAUAAAAUACUUUUUAAUUUAUUUAAAAAAAUGGAAUGUUAAUGUGACUUUUGAGUAGUUAGUACAAGGCUCUACCCAACUAAGCUAAUAGACCAAUUAUGUUAUAAAAUAAUUAAUAUCGUUAUAUAUAACACUAAAAUUUCUAAUGUAUAUUAAAUGCACAUAUAAAUUUAAAUAAUAAAUUUAGUGACAAUUAAUUUUGAUCUAAUAAUUAAUUUUUUUACAUAUAUGAAUUGUAAAUGAAACCUAUAUUUUUAUUUAAAAUUUAUAUAUAUAUACACUAUUAGAUCAAAAUACAUUAGUAGAUUUAUGUUAAUAAUGUAUUUUUUACAUAUAUAAUUUUUUUUAUUAAACCUACGAUUUUUAUUUACAAUUUAUAUAUGUAAACAAAUUAAUUAUUAGAUCAAAAUUAAUUGUCAAAAAUUUCUUAUGUAAAUUUAUAUAUGCAUUAAAUAUACAUGAAAAUUUUUAGUGUUAUCUAUAGCGAAAAUAAUUAUUUUAACAUAAUUGAUUUAUUAGUUCAAUUGGUUAGAGUGUCGUACUAACAAUAUCCGUAAACCAAUUACGGAAAAGCAAUAUGGGAAUUACAAUGUUGUGUUGGAUAUACUAGAAAAACAAAUGGUGCACGUAGCAAUUCCCAAACCAAUAAUGUUUUGUGUUGGACUUUUAUGGACUUUCGUAUAUUUUGGGUUUUUUAAUUGUAAUCCAUAACCCAAAUAUAUCAACACACUUUCGUAGGAACUAGGGUUAUCAGAAAUUAAAUGUAGAAGCGGUUUUCUUUAAGCUUUCCUUUAUCGUCCCCUUGCAAUUUAUCUUUCUUAGUCUAGUUAGCAGCAGAGUCUAUCAAUCUAAAUGUGGAAUGCUAUUCAGUUAUCUAAGACUAGACCACUCUAGAGGAUAAGACCCCAACAUCGUAGUUCUAAAAAUACAUUAUUAUGGGUCAUAUGUAAAGGUGAUUCUCACAAAAUGUUUCUCAUGCUGGUGUUGGGAGCAUAACACAUUUUUCUUCUAGAACACAUGAUAUCUAGGCAAUUCUAUCAUGAGCAUAAUGCUUUACGUAAAACAUCCAAUCAAAAACUCAAGAUAAAAUUUAAAUAAUUUCAGUUCAAGCUUCCUUAUAAGUAGUUCAUGCAUUUUCCUUUACUUUGCUGACUUGUCGUUAAUUUUAAAUUAAUUGAAGGAAAGGGAACAAUUGAUUUGAAUUAUUAUAUUUUCUGAAGUAAAAAAUAACACUAUAUUUGUUUCCUUUAUUUUAAUAGGAAAAAAAUAAAGCUUACAAAUGUUAUCAUUGAUUUGGUUAAGGUAUCUAAAGUUCAGAAACCAAAAAACUAAAAUAAAAUGAUCUACAAUAUAAAAAAAAAAGAUACAAUACAAAAAUAGAAAAGAACAAUUAAAACUCAAGCAUGUUUAUUAAGUUCAAUCUUUCAGCUAUAUAUAAGUGACAAUGUAGAGCUAAUCCAUUGAAGAUGAGCUUGACAUUACCAGCUCAUUGGCAACCUGCUCCAUGGUAGGGCGAGAUCGUGGACUUUCAGUCAAGCAGGCCAUUGCUAUCUUUGCAAUUGAUGCCACUUCCUUACCAAUUGGCUUUGUUGGAUGAGGGAGACGUUGGUCCAACUUAUCCAUCAAUGCCAUGAGAUCGAGUGUUGAGGCCACAAGAGUAGAUGGAGAUGAUCCCAAUAAAGAAGAUAUAACAUCACCAGGGUGCUUCCCAAUAAGUAUUUCCCAUGCUAGGACCCCAAAACUAUACACGUCACAUUUCUCAUUCACCUCCAUUGUGUAUGCAAGUUCUGUAACAAAAUAAAAGUGCUAUCAUACGCAAAAUAGGAUUCUAGUGACAAAGGCAAAAUGUGGACAAUUGUGACUAAGAAAGGCAAACUAAAAAAUAUGAUAUCCUCAAUUUAGUAUAAAGAAAGGUAAUUAACCUGGAGCAGCAUAUCCAAAGGUUCCUACGAAUGAGGUCCAAUUGGAUGAAUCUGGAUUAAGAAACUUGGCUGUUCCAAAAUCUGAGACAUGAGCUACAUAUUCGGAAUCCAAAAGAACAUUCUUGCUUGAUAUAUCACGAUGAACAAUUCGAGGUGAGCAUUCAUGGUGCAUAUAGCACAGAGCAUGUGCUACAUGCUUUAACUACAUUAACCCUCUUAUACCAAUCAAAUGCCAUUGCUUGUCCAUCAUCCUUCAGGGUCUUCCCAACACUGCCAUUCUCCAGGAAUUCACACACCAAAAAUGAGAAUUGUGAAUGUGAACAAAACCCAUAUAACUUUACAAUGUUACGAUGUCG
rnacentral:lncRNA from 1 species